rnacentral:lncRNA from 1 species
UCAAAAUUAAGGUGUAGGGGAAACACGGCCGAAACACAUGCCCAUGAGGCAAGCCAUGUGUCACACACGGCCUAGACACACGCCCGUGUGUCUACCCAUGUGGACAAAAUAAAGGCUACUUACCAAGCCAUUUGUUACCCUCAUUUAGUCCUACACAUGCACAAGUUCAAGGCAUAAUUCGUAGCACACUCAGACAACCAAUACAUCCACAAAUAAGGCCAAUUCAUGUCAUUUCAUUAUCCACACUCAACAUAUUUACAGUAUUAUAUUUUACCAAACCAAAUCAUACCAAACUCACAUGCUACAAGUUUCAACAUGGCUACCAAUAACAUGCAUAAUUUUUAAUUAGUUUUCCUAGCAUACCAAUGAGUCAACCUUAACAUUCAACAACAACCCAUUAAGCCACAUUCAACCAUUUAUCGAGCAUUUACAAACCACAUCACAUAAGAGAUAGUUGCUCAUACAUGUACGUAUAUAUAUAAACUUACAACCAAUUCAACCGAAAUAAGCCAAGUUACAUGGCUAAAUACCACAUCAAGCCUUUGAUAAUUACAAGCCAAUACAUUCAUCCAAAUUUAUAAUGACACAUCUAACAAAAUGACCAAGCCCCUAUACAUAACAAAAUGACCAAGCCCCUAUACAUUCCAUAUUCUCAAAAUGAUUAAAAUCAUCUGUUGUAACACCCCUUACCCGUGUUCGACACUGGAACAGGGUAUGAGGCAUUAUCAGACAUAUACACAUGCAAUCGUAUAAAAUCGGGCCAUGAAUUUGAGUUCAAAUUUAAAACUUUUCACAUGUCAUCUUAAAUCCCUAAUAUGGGCCUACGAAGCCCAAAUCAUGCUUUGGAAACAGUUCGGGACCAAACCGUGGACUUUAGUAAACUUUGAAAACUUUCAUGAAAAAGAAGUGCACACUCCCGUGUGAUAUUAGGACACAUCGUAUGGCUCGCAUGGCCAUGUCCCUAGCCCGUGCACUAUUCUGACUUGCCGUUGUGAACAAAUUUACAUCACACAUAGAUAUCACCACUCAUUCAUCCACAUAUUUAAGCAUACACAUCCUUGAAAUGCAUCAUCAUGGACUUAUAAUAUAGCCAAUAUACCAACAUCAAAUGGCCUUACACAACAAUGAAUUUCAAAUAGCAUAGGCCAACAUUUUAGGCCAAAACAAUUAAGACACAUACAAAAAUAACCAAGUCCCUUAUACAUUCCAUGACCUUAAGUAUAAGAUUUAUCAAUACCCAAUUUUUUAGUUGAUAGUGUGAUAGGUUCUCCGGCGACUUCCAACCCAAGCUAACCUGAGAACAUUAUAAACACAGAAAAUAAAUAGAGUAAGCUAUAUAGCUUAGUAAGUUUGUAUGUAAAUAAUAAGAAAUUUAUUAAAAUGCUUUUACCAAUUCUCCCCAUAUGUUCUCAAGAUAAUACAAUCAUAACUGCACAUAGUUCCACUAUUUACUCUUGUUCAUCUUAAGUUGUCUACUCGAGUCAUAGUCACUAAAUUAUUUAUAUCUUGAGCUAUGGAACUCCAAAUUAAGAUCCACUAAUUUUCCCUAAAACUAGACUCAUAUAUCUUCUUACCAUAAAAUUUUUAGAAUUUUUGGUAUAUCCAAUAAGUAUAAUUUAUUCUUCAAAGUCUCCCAUUUUUUUCUGUACGACAGUUCCGAUCCCUCUUCACUAAAAAUUAAUUAUCUCCUCAUACAGGAUUUGGAUGAUCUUACUAUUUGUUUCUUUUGAAAAUAGACUCAUUAAUAAUUUUAAUAAUAUAAAUUAUAGCCCAUAAUUAUUUUUUUACAAUUUUUAAUGAUUUUCCCAAAUCAGAACAGGGGAUUUCGAAAUCAUUCUGACUCUAUCUCACAAAAAUUCAAAUACCUCGUAAUAUGAAAUUCUUUUGCUUAAACCGUUUCUUUUAUAUAAACAUAUACUCAAUAAAUUUUAAUUUCAUAUCUUAUUCAAACUAUAAUUCAAUUUUCACCAUUUUUGAUGAUUUUUCAAAGUCACACAACUGCUGCUGUCCAAAAUUGUUUUAUUGCUAAUUUUACUCUCUUAGUUUUCUUUGUGUUAACUUUCAUUCAACAUUCAUAUAGAUUUUGUACGUACCUGUCUCACUUAAAUUAGUUAUACUUUGAUUUUUUUUAUCUUGGCUAUGUCAGUUGAUACACUUAAACCUCAACGAAAACACAUUAUUUCAAUUCAACAUCAAAUAAUAUUAUUGGUUCAUAAUCCUUUCACAUUUAAUCAUCACAUAGUCAUAUUUGUUUACACUUAGUCAUUUCCCAUUGAACACAUCAAAAUAAUAACGGAUACACGGUGGCCUUCACAUAGUACCAGCCUUGUAGCCAAAGGUAUUUUAUUCACAAAGUGGCCUUCACAUAGUACUACACUUGUGUCCAAAGCUAUUUUAUUCACAAAGUGGUCUUCACAUAGUACCACACUUGUGUCCAAAGCUAUUUUAUUCCUAAGGUUCAACCGGGAAAUUUCUCACUUAGCACAAUGCCAUGGACUUAUUUCACUUAGAUGCCAUGGACUUCUUUCACUUAGCACAUUGCCAUGGACUUAUUUCACUCAGAUGCCAUGGUCUUAUUUCACUUAGCACAAUGUCGUAUGCUAGAUAUGGUCUUACAUGUGAAUAACUUAUUUCACUUAGCACAUUGCCAUGGUCUAACUACUGUCAAUUCAUAUUUCACUACGCAACGAUCGUGAUCGAUCUUACGUUUUUACUCAAUUCGAGCGUUUACUUUAAUUUUCACAAUUUAAUCAAAAAUAUAAUAAUAUUGCAUAAUUAAUACAAAUCAAUAACAUUUAUUAACAUUUGAACUCACCUCAACCUAAAAUGGCAAAAAGGACCAAAUCGUCCAAUACUCUUUUUUUCCCCCUUCUAAGUCUAAACUUCAUUUUUCUUAAAUCGAGCUUGGAAGCUUGAAAAACCCCAGCCAUGGUUUCCCCUUGUGAAAUUCAGCCAUAGGGUUGAAGAUGGAAAAAAAUUGGCUUUUAAUUUUAUUUUUAAUUCAUUUUAAUUACUAAAUGACCAAAAUGUCCCUAACUUAAAAAUAUUCUAUUUCACCUAUUUCAUGUCCAUUUUUGUCCAAAAAAUUAACCAAUGGUCUAAUUACCAUUUAAGGACCUCCAAUUUGAAAUUUCAUAACAAUUGGACACCUCUAACAUGUAGAACUCAACUUUUUCACUUUUUAUAAUUUAGUCCUUUUGACUAAAUUGAGUGCCCAAACGUCGAAAUUUUCGAACGAAAUUUUCACGAAUCAUUCUGUGAAAAUAUAGACCAUAAAAAUAUAAUAAAAUUAAAUAUUUUUUCCUCAUCGAAUUUGUGGUCCCGAAACCACUAUUUUGACUAGGCCCAAAAUUGGGCUAUUACAACUCUCCCCCCUGUAGGGAUUUUCGUCCCCGAAAAACUUACCAGAAGAAAUUGCUUUCAACUAUCAUGAAUCACUUUCACUAAUUUUCCUAGAAUUAGAAACCAUAUCAACCUCGUAUAUCUCUUUCUAAUCACCUUUGAACUUUAACACAUAGUGUCAGAGCAUAUCGUCAAAGUUUUGAAUUAAUUUCUCAGGCUUAUCACUGAUUUACAGGUGUAUUAUCGUGCCAAGAUGCAACUGCAUACUCAUAGUUUCCUUUAGCCCUUUCCAUAAUUGGGAUAUAGCCCUCGGAUCUCUAUCCGUAAAAAUAGAGACUGAUACUUCACAUAAUCGAAUAAUCCCAAAAAUAUGUUACUCGGCUGGCUUGUUAAACAAGAAAUCUGUACAUGACCGAUCAAUCACAAUUAGAUAACAUCUUCCUUUUUGGAGAUAAAGAUAAUUCAGAUACAAAAUCUAUAGUAAUUCUAUCUCAUAUCACAUGUAACAUCCCGAAUUAAGGCCUAGUCGAAAUAGUGCUUUUGAGACCAUAAAUUUGAUAUAUAAAUAAUUAUUUUAUGAUUCUCAUGAGGUUUAUGUUAUGAAUGCAUGCUUGUGUGAAAGUUUCAUGAAGAAAUUCUAUGCAUAAAAUGUCUAAUUGUAUUUUAGGGACCAAAUUGAAUAAAGUGUAAAACUUGCAUUCUAGAAGGUCUAAGCAUGAAAUUGCAUUAGAUAUUGAAUUAGAGGGUCCUGAUUAUCAAUUUGACGAAUUCUAUAAUUUUGGACAAAAAUGGACAUGCAAAGAAAAAUGUGAAAGAAAAACCCUAAGGGCACUUUGGUCAUUUGGUAAUUAAAAGAAUAAAAAAGGAAAAAUAAGUCAAAAUUGGUGUUCAUCUUCUUCCUUCAUUGCCAAAAUUUGCAAGACACCAUAACUAGGUUUUGUUCAACAUUUCCAAGCUUGAUUGUAAGUGCAUCCUAGCCCUGUUUUUAAUGUUCUUUGCAUUUUUUAAAGUCCUUGAAGCAUGAUCUACCCAUUUCUAGCUAUAUUUUGAGCUAAGGUUCAUGUAUAAAAUUUGAACCAUGUGUAACAUGCAUGUAUUUUGAUGAUUAAUAGAGGAAUAUGAAUGUUUGAUGCAUGAUAAACAUCUUUUACUAGGUGAUUUUUAGUGAAAACACCUAAACAAGGGACUUGUUUGUAAAAAGUGUAAAAGAGAAUAGUAAUAAUCUGAAAUAAGAGAAAAAAUGGGCUAAUAUAAGCUUAGUAAAGGCUUGGCUAGGCUUGGGUAACCAAGAAAAUGCAUGCAUUUCAUUUUACGAGUCUAAGGACCAAAGUGUAAAUAUGUGAAAGUUUAGGGGUCAAAAUAUAAAAUUUCAGAAGUAUGAUUUAUGGACCCAUUUGAACAAUGUGAAUAAUAAAUAAGUUAAACCUGGCAUUAUAGAUCUAGAAAAAUGUGAACCAGGACUUGAUCGAGGGAAGAAUAAAGUACACGACGAUUAGGCUCGUUUAUUAUCAUUUUGUACCGGGGUAAGUACAUAUGCAAAUAAUGUGGUGUUGUAGUAUUUUUAAUGCUUUAAUAUAUUGUAAUAAUUUUUUUAUUGAAAUCAUGAGUUAUAUACUUACUAAUAGUUAUGAAAGCAUGAAUGUUAUUAUGGUCGUUAUCCACAACGUUACGAGCAAGUACAAUGGAGAUACUAUAUGCAAGUGUGACAUCCCUAAAUUGACCCUAGUCGGAAAGUGGUUUCGGGACCACGAAACCGAGUCUUAUAAAUAAUUAAAGGUUAUAUUCUGUGUUUAUGAUGUGCGUAAAUGCUUGUGUGAUAGUUCCAUACUUUAAUUUGGUCAGUGUAUGUGAAAUUUAUUAGUAAGGACUUAUGUGAGACAAUUUAGAAAUAUGCUAGGCAAGUGUUCAAGUGGCCUAUUAAUAUAUGUGGGAAAGUGCUUGUCCUUGCAUGUCAAAUUAGCCAAAUUAAAGCAUAGUGGUCGGCCAUGCUAUGGGUGGAAACAUGUCACAAACAUGUUAUGUUAGUGAUGUAUGUUAGGAAAAAUAAAAUAAAGAGCAUGGUAAUAAAAUAAUGAAAGGUAAUAUGAUGAAAAAAAAAAAAGAAAGAAUGUGUGUGAUUGUUUCCCCCCCCCCUCCAUUGCCGUGAGUUGAAGGAAAGAAAACAAAAAAAAAGUGUUCAUCCUUGAACAUCUUUGGCCGAAAACUUUAAGGAGAAAGGAAGAAGAAAGGUUGAAGAGGUUCGGCCAUGCAUAUAACUAGGCUAAGGUAUGUUUGAUGUUGCUCCAUGAGAUUCAUGUAUAUUUUAGUUGUUAGCUUGAGUCCUACCUAGCCCAUGGUCUAAAUCUUUGCUAUGUGAGGGAGAUGAUACUCGGCCAUGGGUGUUGUCUUCUUGGUGGAUGCUAGAUGUUGUGUUGGUGAGGUAUGAAGAUGUUAGAGUGUGUGUGAGAAUUUGAAAAAAAAAAGGUAGGUCUUAGCAACUUCAUGAAGCAAUCGGCCAUGGUAUAUCCAUAAGUAUGAUUUAUGCUUGUUAUGUUACUCAUGGUUAAAAUGAUUCGGCUAUGCUUCAUGUAAAAAUAAAAUAUACAUGUGAAUUCGGAUAUAUGUUUAUAUUUGGUUAAUGAUUUAUCCUUGUGGAGUAUAAAUUUGUAACAUGAUUUGAGUUGGAAGUUAUUGUAAUGUAUUUGUGCAUUCGGGUACAUGGUGAAAAUAUAUGAAAUGGUUAUAAUCAACCUUAUGAUUCGGCUCUUGCACAUAUAUAUAUAUGUUUGCACAUGAUGUAUUGGUAUGCCAUUUAUGUGUGGUAUUAAGUAUAUAAUUGGCCUCAACAUAUACAUGCAUACUCGGCCACAUGAGAAGAUUAGUGUUGCAUGUAUUCGGUUAGAGGCAAGCAUAUUGAUGCCUUUAUCUUGGUUUAGACAAUCGGCUAAAAGGGAGUGUGGAUUAAUAUGUUGAGUUGAUUCAUGAUUUCACAUGUAUGUGACUUUAAUGUCUAAUGUAUAUAUAUGGGCUAAGUACCUUGAGUUUUUCUUUUCGAUGCUCAAAUGAUUAAAUCAAUUUAUUUGUUAAAUUAAGCUCAAGAGCAAAGGGGAACUAAAUCCGAUAAAGGGAAGGAAAAAGUGGUCGAAUAGCCAUCGAAAUCGUUCGACAACAUCCGAGGUAAGUUUUCGAGUAACGAGACUUAGUUAUCGAUUUGAUUAAGUCAUGAUGUAUGAGCAUAACAAAUAUGCGGCGAUAUGAUGAUUCUACUUAAAUCAUAUGUUGAGCUAAUUAGUCUAUACGUAUGACGGGUAGCCGUAUGUGCAUAGAGAUAGUGUCAUAAAGCAAAGUAAACCAUGCUGUUUGUAUGUGGCUAGUGAGCCGAAAAUGGGUUUGCUUAAUACGUGACUUGUGUUUGAACUCCAAUUAUGAAAACGAAAUAUAGAUGUGUCAUGACUUAUUGAUAUGUGUGUGAAUAUUUGGAUGAUAACCGGGCUAAGUCCCGAAGGCAUUUGCGCUAGUGACUAGUUCCGGGCAAGUCCCGAAGGUAUUGGUGCGAGUUACUAUAUCCGGGCUAAGUCCCGAAGGCAUUUGUGCGAGUUACUAUAUCCGGGCUAAGUCCCGAAGGCAUUUGUGCGAAGUACUAUAUCCGGGCUAAGUCCCGAAGGCAUUUGUGUGAGUUACUAUAACCGGGCUAAGUCCCGAAGGCAUUUGAGCAGUAGCUAUAUCCGGCUAAACCCCGAAGGUACUUGGUUGGGAAUGAGCGAUCUUGCUGUAAUAAUUUCAAUUAAUACGCUCGUAAAAUCCCAACGAUGAGGUACAUUUCGUAUAUGCAUUUGAGUAGCGAUUCCGUUUAAAUAUUAUUCGCUCAGUUGAUUAAUGAGUUUCCGGCCUUUGGCUAAGUUGAUCUUUUUUUUGUGUGAAUAUAAGGGUUGGUAAUGUGAAGUAAGUAUGAUAUUGAGAAUUUGUGCAUAUGAAACUAUCCAUUUAGCCAUAUGAAUGCUACAUUGUAGUUGUGUCUAAUUUUAUGGCUCAAAACUUACUAAGCAUUAAAUGCUUACUCCGUUUCUUUGAAUCUCUGUUUUAUAGAUUUUGGUUCGUUAGCUAUCGGAUUCGGGAUUUUUGGAAGUCGAAGUCUCCCACACUAUCAAAGCCCCUUUUGGUACACUUUUGGUUGAAGUUCGAAAUGGCAUGUAUAGGACACCCUUUUUUUUGUUAUUAGGCAAGUACUUUGGUGUUGUAUAUAUUUGGAUAGCCAUGCGAAAAUGGUUUAUAUAUAUUUUGAGUAUAAUGUUAUAAUCAUCUUGAAUGUAUAUGUUCAUUAAGAGGCAUGGAAAUGUUUGGCAACGAUUAGCCAUUAGAAUGGUUCAUCAUGAUUAUAUUUUGGGCUAUAUAUGCUAAAGGGCUAGUUGAAUCAUGGAAACUAUGAAAUAGGUAAAGUCUACCUUAAAGGUAGAUGCUGACAGCAGCAGUGAUGUAGAUUUGAAAAAUCACUAAAAAUAGUAGGAAUGGAAUUAAAUAGUGAAUAAAUUAUUUAAUCAAACCUUGAUGAAUCUACUUUCACAUGGAAGAAACGAAACGAUCAUAUAAGUUGUAUGUUAAGAGAUAUUUAGGUUUUCACGAAACAGGGCCAGAACGGUUUCUGGAUUCCCUGUUCCGACUUUGGAAAUUCUUCAUAAAUUAACCAGAGAUAAUUAGAAGUCAUGCCUUAUAUUUAUAGAUUCCUUUUUGAGUCUAGUUUCAUUAGAAACAAACUACAUCAGUAUUGAAGCCCUGCACAGGGAGAUAUCCAAGUCGUAGUGCGUGGAGGUCAGAGUAGUCGAACCCUGAAACAGGGGACACUUUAACUAAUAAACUGUACUAAUUGGCCGGACCAAAAAUUCUAGAAAAAAAUUUGUAGAUUUAUAUAUGAGUCUAGUUUCAUGGAAAAAUUACAAAACUGAUUUUCGAGUUUUGGAACUCAAGAUAUGAUUUUUAAGGUGACAGUGACGCAGUUAGUCAGCUGUCUGGAAAUUUUCAAAAUGGACUGUGAAAAUAAGUGAAUUUAGUCUGUGAACCCCUCGUGUCCGACUCCGGUAACGGUCUCGGGUAUGGGGUGUUACAGCAAGUGAGGAAAAAUACCAUUUGAACCUUAGGAAUAGUUUAGGAUACACGUGACAUGUCACUAGGAACUAAGAAGUUCGAACUCGUUGAGUGGUCCGAGUUCGUUAGAUAUGUGGCAUUCGAGCUCGUAGAGAGGUCCGAGUUUAUUAUGGAUGCGAGCAUCCGAGCUCGUUGAGAGGUCUAAGUUCAUUAUGGAUGUGUUACAUGUUAUGUGGUAGCCUCGGCUAUGCUUGUAUACGUGGCACAUAUGUGCAAGGUUUCCACGUAUCCAAUAGUAUUUUGAGAGUUCAACGGGUAAUGUAAUAAAUGUAAUGGGAGUCCCGAGAAGGACAAAUAAAAGAGGUAUGGUUAUGGAUAUUUUAUGAUGAGUACAGGUAUGUAUGCUAAACCUAUGAGUAAUGCCUUAAUAAAGAUCGAUUUAUGAUGAGCAAGUAUAUACAUGUGCAUAUGAUGAGUAAGCAAAAAGGUUUGAAUGAUGAAUAAUCUUUAUGUAUACGUUGCUAUGUUUCUACAUGUCGAUUACUUACUACCAUUUCAUAUUAUUUGUAUGUGGACUUACUAAGCUUUAAUGCUUACUCCCCUCUCUUUCCAUCCUUUGUAGUUCUGCCAAACUAGCUCGGGGAUCGGAAGCUAUUGGAGUAUUCGAUCACACUAUCAAAAGACUAUUGGGUAUAGUGAAAUUAUUAUUUUGAGUAUGGCAUGUAUAGGAAACUUGGUCAUUUUGUGAUAUGUGUCAUGUUAUUUGGCCUAAUUGUGAAGGCCUAUGAUAAUGAUGAUUCAUUUUGUAAUGGCCAUGUGAUAUGGCUCAUAUUUGAUCAUUUGGGUUGUAAUUUCAUUACCCAUGCAUGCAUACGCUAGCGUUUUGAUGGUAGGAUAUGUUAUUGCUUGGUGAGUGCAUGGUAAUGGAGUGAUAUAUUGUUGAGCGAUGAAUGUAUGGUAAAGUAUGAAUCUGGUGCUAAAGGAUAAGGGGUGACCUAAUAGCGUAAAAUGACUAUAUACAUGAAUGUUCAAUUUGAAGUUAUGGUAACAAGUGUAAUAAUGCAUGAAAUUGGUGUAGAAUUUCUCUAAGUGGUGUAACAAAUGAAUGUGCAAUAGGAUGACAUUAUGAAGAUGUGAGAGUGCCAUGGUAUAGAAUAUUUGAGUGCCUAAAUAUGUCAUGUUGCAUGUUAUAAAGUAUGUUUUAAUGUAUGGGUGAUUUUUGGGUGACUAUUGGCUUGGAAUAUAGCCUUUAAAUGGUCCACACGGGUAGACACACGGGCAUGUGUCUAGACCGUGUGUGACAUACGGGCAUGUGUCUAGACCGUGUGUGACACACGGUCUACCCCAUGUGCAUGUUGAAUGGUCGUGUGUCCCCUGCACCUAAAAUUUCUAAGUCAGUAUGCAUGGUAUUAAACACACGGGUAGAGACACGACCGUGUGUCUCAACCGUGUGGAGGACACAGCCUAGCACACGAGCGUGUGCCCCUAAAUGAGUGAUGACAUCAUAAACAGAAUGUCCAGGUUUUUGGACACGGGCAAUGACACUGGCGUGUCUAGGCUAUGUGAGGGACACAGGCGUGUCUAGGCUGUGUGAAAACCCCUAUAAGUUCAAAAUGAAAAAUAAAUAUUAGAAAUUCCCCCACGGGUAUGGGACACGGGCGUGUCCCAAAGCACAUGGGCGUGUUCAUUACCUCUACACGGGCGUGUAAGGCUUAAACCUAAAAAUUUUCUUAGAAUUUUCUUAAGUUCUCGGUUUUGUUCUGGAUUGCUUUUAAUGUAUGUUUUGGACCUCGUAAGUCCAUAAUAAGGAUAAUAUGAUCUUUCUUUAUCCGUUUUUAAUUUGGAAUGAAAUUUUAUGACCCGUAUUUUCUGGAAAUGCCUUGUUUAUGUACAGUAAUGCCUCGUACCUUGUCCCGAUCUCGGGUAUGGGUAAGGGUAAGGGGUGUUACAUUUAGUGGUAUCAGAGCUAUAAUUUAGUCAAUUCUCAGGCUAACCUAGCACAUUUGAGUCUAACUAUACAUGUCAUACAUAUAUAUAUAAGUAAUGAUAGUGUGACGACUUCUGACAAUAUUAAAAUGUGUUUUCAUAUAGCCAAUGGAUCCCGACAGAGCAGUGGCGGAUGACAUAGAAAGUAACGCACCUGCUCCAGCAGAAAGAGCGGUGCCAUCUGAAAGUAGGCCCAAAAUUGUCAGUAGAGGAGAAUGAGGCAGAGAGGCCUUUCUCCAUAUUAUGAAUGCAUGGUAUACGGAGUUCAUUCGAAUGAACCCGAAUGCUUAACCUCCCCCACCUCCCCUAAAUCCUCAACUCGCACCUAUGAUGCCUCAACAUAUGGAUUUCAUGAAAUUUUCUAGAGCACCUAUUGAUAGAAUUCAGAAAUAAGGUACCGAGAAAUUUAGGGAAAAUGCUAAUGAUGACCCUGAAAAAGCGGAGUUCUGGUUAGAGAACUCGAUACGGGUAUUUGAUGAAUUGUCAUAUCCUUGUUGAGAGAUUCAGUGUAUCAUUGGUGGAGAAUGCUGAUAUUUGUAGUACCACCAGAGAGGGUUACUUGGGAAUUCUUUCAAGAGGAAUUUUGAAAGAAAUACAUUAGUGAAAGAUUCAUCAAACAGAAGCGUAAGGAAUUCCUGGAAUUGAAACAAGGUUGUAUAAUAGUCAGUGAAUAUGAGAGAGAAUUCGUCAGACUUAGCAAAUAUGCUCGGGAGUAUGUACCCUCCGAAGCUAAGAUGUGUAGAAGAUUUGAAGAUGGGCUCAAUGAGGAUAUUAAGACAUUAGUGGGUAUUCUCGAGUUGAAAGAAUUUGUGGUACCUGUUGAACAGGCUUGUAAAGUCGAAGACUUGGGUAAAGAGUGGAAGAAGGCCGAGUUUGAUGCAAGCGAUACAAGAAAGAGGUACAUAAGUAAGUCAUUGCCAUCCCAAUCUAAGAAAUCUAGAGAGAUGUAUUAUCAUUCACAUAUGUCAGCUGGACAUUCAUACGGGAAUCGUAGAAAGCAGAAUUCAGGUUUUAGAUCUCAGGCUACGUCUGUGGCAAGCGUGGGAAAAGCUAAACCUACCAAGGCUGAAUGUCUGUAAUGUGGUAGACGUCACUCUAGCAACUGUAGAGUGAGUGAAGGAUCAUGUUUUAAAUUUGGUUCUUUAGACCAUUUUAUUAAGGACUGUCCCGUGAUGAUGGAAAAAGAAAUAUUUCAGAGUCCAAGAUAGAGUGGCUCAGAUUCUUGGGAAAGACCCUCGAGAAAUGUUGAGAAUGAGUCCGGUACUAAUAGUGUGACACAAGAUAUAGUAGUAAAGUCUAAAGCUAGGGCUCUGGCAAGAGCCUAUUCCAUACGCGUACGUGAAGACGCAACUUCUCCUGAUGUGAUCACUGGUAAAUUUUCUCUUUAUGAUACUAAUGCUAUUGUUUUGAUAGACUCUGGCUCCACUCAUUCGUAUGUGUGUAUGAAAUUGGAAUCUAGUAUGAAUAUACCUGUCGAGUCUACAGAUUUCUUAAUUAAGGUGUCUAACCCAUUAGAAAAGUAUGGGGUAGUUGAUAAAGUAUGUAAGAAAUGUCCUUUGAUGGUUAAAGAUCAUUGUUUUCUGGCCAACUUGAUGUUGUUGCCGUUUGACGACUUUGAUGUCAUACUGGGUAUGGAUUGGUUGACACUAAAUGAGGUUAUAGUGAAUUGUAGACAAAAAGUUAUGGAAUUGAAAUAUGAAAACGGUGAAAUUUUUUGGGUUGAAUCAGAUGAUGCAGAUAAGUUACCAAUGAUGAUUUCUUCAAUGAUUGCUUAGAGAUACUUCAGAAAGGGGUAUAAAGCUUAUUUGGAAUAUAUAUUGAAUACAAAAGAAUCCGAAUUAAAAAUCGAAUCAGUGUCAGUUGUGUGUGAGUAUGCGGAUGUAUUUUCGGAGGAAUUGUCAGGUUUUCCUCCAGUUAGAGAAGUGGAAUUCAGUAUUGAGCUAAUUCCAGGGAUGGCACCCAUCUCUAUUACCCCAUAUAGAAUGUCCCUGACUGAACUGAAAGAACUGAAGUCACAGCUGCAAAAGCUGACCGACAAAGGUUUUGCGGGACCAAGUUUUUCACCGUAGGGUGCUUCCAUAUUGUUCGUGAAAAAGAAGGACGGCUCUAUGAGAUUUUGCAUUGAUUACCGGCAACUCAAUAAGGUGACAAUCAAAAAUAAGUAUCCUCUUCCAAGGAUUGAUGACUUAUUUGACCAGCUGAAGGGAGCGACAUGGUUCUCUAAGAUAGACUUGAGGUCUGGAUACUACCAGUUACGAGUGAAAGAGUCUGAUGUGCCUAAGACUGCCUUUAGAACGAGGUCUGGCCACUAUGAGUUUCUUGUUAUGCCAUUUGGACUAACGGAUGCUCCUGCUGUGUUUAUGGAUUUAAUGAACUGAAUUUUUUGGCCAUAUUUAGAUAAGUUUGUUGUAGUGUUUAUUGAUGAUAUUCUGAUUUAUUCUAGAGGUGAAGCAGAGUAUGCCAAGCACUUGAGAACUGUUUUAUAAACUCUGAGGGAUAAGCAGUUAUAUGGAAAGUUUAGUAAAAGUGAGUUUUGGCUUCGAGAGUUUGGGUUUUAGGCCACGUUGUUUCAGGAGAUGGUAUAAGAGUUGAUCCCAGUAAGAUUUUUGCUAUUGUUGAAUAGAAGCCGCUGAGGAAUGUAACCGAAGUUAGGAGCUUUUUGAGUUUAGCAGGUUAUUACAGACAAUUUGUGAAUAGAUUUUUUAUGAUAGCCACCCCAAUGAUGAGGUUGUUGCAAAAGGAUGUUAAGUUCGAGUGGACAGAGAAGUGCCAAUAGAGUUUGGAGAAACUGAAAGCAUUGUUAACAGAGGCACCAGUGUUAUUACAAUAAGAAUCAAUACAAUCAGAAUCAAGGAAAGAAUUUGUGAUUUAUAGUGAUGCAUCCUUGAAUGGACUAGGUUGUGUCAUUAUGCAAGAAGGUAAGGUAGUAGCUUAUGCUUCAAGGCAACUGAAGCCCCAUGAGAAGAACUAUCCUACACAUGAUUUAGAAUUAGCCGCUAUUGUAUUUGCUUUGAAGAUUUGUAGCAUUACCUAUUCAGGGAGAAAUGCCAUGUCUAUUCAGACCAUAAAAGUCUUAAAUAUCUGAUGACACAAAAGGACUUGAACUUGAGGCAAUAAAGGUGGCUUGAAUUGUUAAAAAAUUAUGAGCUUGUGAUAGAUUAUCACCCCGGUAAGGCAAAUGUGGUUACCGAUGCCAUAAGCAGAAAGUCUUUGUUUGCUUUAAGAGCUAUGAACGUACGACUAGCCCUAUCUCAUGAUGAUGCUAUUCUAACAGAGUUAAAAGCUAGACCGACUUUUCUUCAACAAAUUUGCGAUGUUCAAGAAGCUAAUAAAGAUUUACAAGCUAAAAAAGCUCAGUAUGAGUCGAGCAGUGAAUCAGAUUUCCAGAGAGGUCCUAAUGGUUGUCUGAGGUUCAGUGGAAAGAUUUGCGUUUCGAAGAAUGCUAAGUUGAUUCGGGAUAUUUUGCAUGAGGCUCAUAAUGGAGGUAUGUUAGUUCACCCGGGUAGUACAAAAAUGUACAUGAUUUAAAGAAAAUGUAUUGGUGGAAUGGCAUGAAAAGAGAUAUAUCCAAAUUUGUAUCGAGAUGCUUGAUUUGCCAACAAGUAAAGGCUGAACAAUAGGUACCUUUAGGUUUACUUUAGCCUAUCUUAGUUACCGAAUGGAAAUAGGACAGAAUUACUAUGGACUUUGUGACAGGCUUGCCGUUGACACCAAGAAAGAAAGAUGUCGUAUGGGUAGUGGUUGACAGAUUGACUAAGUCGGCUCAUUUUAUAACAAUACGCGUUGAUUAUUAACUUGAUAAGUUAGCUGAACUAUAUAUUUCUGAGAUUGUGAGACUUCAUGGAGUACCUUUAUCAAUUAUUUCGGAUAGGGAUCCAAAGUUCACUUCGCGGUUUUGGAAGAAGUUACAAGAAGCUUUGGGUACGAAGCUGAAUUUUAGUAUCGCUUUUCAUCCAUUGACUGAUGGACAAUCUGAGAGAGUAAUUUAGACACUUGAAGAUAUGCUUAGAUGUUGUGUACUUGAAUUCCAAGGUAGUUAGGAAAAGUACCUACCUUUGGUUGAAUUUGCCUAUAACAAUAGCUAUCAGAUAAGUUUAAAGAUGACACCUUAUGAAGCACUGUAUGGACGUAAAUGUCGUACACCAUUGUAUUGAACUAAGCUCAAGGAGAAUAAGAUUCAUGGGAUAUAUUUGAUUAAGGAAAUCGAGGAAAAGGUGAAAUUAAUUCGUGAUUGUUUCAAAGCAGCAUCGAAUAGAAAAAAGUCAUAUGCAGAUUUAAAAAAGAAAAAAAUUGAGUAUCAGGUUGGUGAUAAGGUAUUCUUAAAAGUAUCCCCAUGGAAGAAGAUUUUGAGAUUCGGUAGAAAAGGCAAGUUGAGUCCUUGUUUUAUAGGAUCGUAUGAGGUUACCGAAAGGGUAGGGCCUGUUGUUUAUCGAUCAGCUUUACCAACUGAAUUAGAAAAGAUUCACGAUGUGUUUCAUGUGUCCAUGUUGCGCCACUAUAGAUCUGACCCUACACAUGUGAUUGUACCGACAGAUGUUAAGAUCAGUCCGGAUAUGACUUAUGGUCAGGAACCUAUUAAAAUCUUGCUCGGGAAGUCAAGCAAUUGAGAAACAAAAAUGUUGCUCGUGUGAAAGUUUUAUGGCAAAGACAUGGGGUUGAAGAGGCUACAUGGGAGCCUAAGAAGGCCAUGAGUAAACAAUAUCCAAACCUUUUUACCGGUAAUAUUUUUGGGGACAGAAAUCCCUAAAGAGGGAGAGUUGUAACAUUUUUUCGUGGAUACAAAUCCCUAAAGGGGGAGAGUUGUAACAUCCCGAAUUAGGGCCUAGUCAGAAUAGUGGUUUUGAAACCACAAAUCUGAGAUAAAAAUAAUUAUUUUACGAUUCGCAUGAGGUUUAUGUUAUGAGUGCAUGCUUCUGUGAAAGUUUCAUUAAGAAAUUCUAUGCAUAAAAUGUCUAAUUGCAUUUUAAGGACCAAAAAAUGCAAAACUUGCAUUCUAGAAGCUUUAAGCAUGAAUUUGCAUUAGAUAUUGAAUUAGAGGGUCCUAAUUAGUAAUUUUACCAAUUUCUAUAAUUUUGGACAAAAAUGGACAUGCAAAGGAAAAAUGUGAAAGAAAAACCCUAAGGGCACUUUGGUCACUUGGUCAUUAAAAGAAUAAAAAGGGAAAAAUAAGUCAAAAUUGGAGUCCAUCUUCUUCCUUCAUUGCCAAAAUUUUCAAGACACCAUAGCUAGGGUUUGUUCAACAUUUCCAAGCUUGAUUGUAAGUGCAUCCUAGCCCCGUUUUUAAUGUUCUUUGCCAUUUUUGAAGUCCUUGAAGCAUGAUCUACCCAUUUCUAGCUAUAUUUUGAGCUAGGGUUCAUGUAUAAAAUUUGACCCAUGUGUAACAUGCAUGUAUUUUUAUGAUUAAUGGAGGAAUAUGAAUGUUUGAUGCAAGAUAAACAUCUUUUACUAGGUGAUUUUUAGUGAAAACAUCUAAACAAGGGACUUGUUUGUAAAAAGUGUAAAAGACAAUAGUAAUAAUGUGAAAUAAGAGAAAAUAUGGGCUGAUAUAAGCUUAGUAAAGGCUCGGCAAGGCUUGGGUAACUAAGAAAAUGCAUCCGUUUCAUUUUACGAGCUUAGGGACCAAAGUGCAAAUAUGUGAAAGUUUAGGGGUCAAAAUAUAAAAUUUCAAAAGUAUGAUUUAUGGACCCAUUUGAACAAUAUGAAUAACAAAUAAGUUAAAUUUUUUAUUAUAGAUCAAGAAAAAUGUGAACCGGGACUUGAUCGAGGAAAGAAUAAAGUACACGAUGAUUAGGCUCGAUUAUCAUCAUUUUGUACCGAAGUAAGUACAUAUGCAAAAAAUGUGGUGUUGUAGUAUGUUUUAAUGCUUUAAUAUAUUGUAAUAAAUGUUUUAUUGAAAUUAUAAGUUAUAUGCUUACUGAUUGUUAUGAGAGCAUGAAUAUUAUUAUGGUCGUUAUCCACGACGUUACGAGCAAGUAUGAUGGAGAUACUAUAUGCAAGUGAAGAAAUGAACCUUAGGAAUAGUUUAGGAUACAAGUGACAUGUCACUAGGAACUAAAAAAUUCGAAUUCGUUGAGUGGUCCGAGUUCGUGAGAUAUGGCAAUCGAGCUCGUUGAGAGGUCUGAGUUUAUUAUAGAUGCGAGCAUCUGAGGUCGUUGAGACGUCCGAAAUCAUAAUGGAUGCGAUUCAUGUAACAUUCGAGCUCAUUGAGAGGUCCGAGUUCAUUACGGAUGUGUUACAUGUUAUGUGGUAGCCUUGGCUAUGCUUGUAUAUGUGGCACUUAUGUGCAAGGCUUCCGCGUAUCGAAUAGUAUUCCGAGAGUUCAAAAAGUAAUGUAAUGAAUGUAAUGAUAGUCCCGAGAAGGACAAAUGAAAGAGGUAUGGUUAUGGAUACUUUACGAUGAGUACAAGUAUGUGUGCUAAAACUAUGAGUAAUGCCUUAAUAAAGAUCGAUUUACGAUGAGCAAGUAUAUACAUGUGCGUAUGAUGAGUAAGCAAAAAGAUUUGAAUGAUGAAUAAUCUUUAUGUAUAUGUUGCUAUGUUUCUGCAUGUUGAUUCCUUUCUACAUUUCAUAUUAUUUGUAUGUGGACUUACUAAGCUUUAAUGCUUACUCCCCUCUCUUUCCAUCCUUUGUAGUUCCACCAAGCUAGCUCGGGGAUUGGAAGCUGUCGGAGUAUUCGAUCACACUAUCAAAAGCUAUUGGGUAUCGUGAAAUUAUUAUUUUGAGUAUGGCAUGUAUAGGAAACUUGGUCAUUUUGUGAUAUGUGCCAUGCUAUUUGGCCUAAUUGUGAUGCCUAUGGUAAUGAUGAUUCAUUUUGUAAUGGCCAUGUGAUAUGGCUCAUAUUUGAUCAUUUGGGUUGCAAUUUAAUUACCCAUGCAUGCAUGCGCUAGUGUUUUGAUGGUAGGCUAUGUUUUUGCUUGUGAGUGCAUGGUAAUGGAAUGAUAUGUUGUUGAUCGAUGAAUGUAUGGUAAAGUAUGAAUCUUUUGCUAAAGGAUAAGGGAUAACCUAAUAGCUUAAAGUGACUAUAUGCAUGAAUGCUCAAUUUGAAGUUAUGGUAACAAGUUUAAUGAUACAUGAAAUUGGUGUGGAAUGUCUUUAAGCGGUGUAACAAAUGAAUGUGCAAUAGGAUGACAUUAUGAAGAUGUGAGAGUGCCAUGGUGUGGAAUAUUUGAGUGCCUAAAUAUGUCAUGUUGCAUGUUAUAAAGUAUGUUUGGAUGUAUGGGUGAUUUGUGGUGACUAUUGGCUUGGAAUAUAGCCUUUAAAUGGUCCACAAGGGUAGACACCUGGGAAUGUCUCUAGACUGUGUGUGACACACGGUCUACCCCAUGGGCAUGUUGAAUGGUCGUGUGCCUUGGCUGUGUGCCCCUAAAUGAGCGAUGACAUCAUAAACAGAAUGUCCAGGUUUUUGGACACGAGCGAUGACACGGGUGUGUCUAGGCCGUGUGAGGGACACGGGUGUGUCCUCAGUCGUUCGAAAACCGCUGUAGGUUCGAAAUGAAAAUUAAAUUCUAGAAAUUCCCCCAUAGGUAUGGAACAUGGGCGUGUCCCAAAGCAAACGGGCGUGUGCAUUACCUCCACACGGGCAUGUGAGGCUUAAACUUAGAAAUUUUUUUAGAAUUUUCUUAAGUUCUCAGUUUAGUUCCUGAUUGCUUUUAAUGUAUGUUUUAGACCUCGUAGGUCCAUAAUAGGGAUAAUAUGAUUGUUUGAUCGGUUUUUAAUUUGGAAUGAAAUUUUAUCACCCGUAUUCUCGGAAAUGCCUUGUUUAUGUAUGGUAACGCCUCAUACCUUGUCCCUGUCUCGGGUACGGGUAAGGGGUGUUACAUUACAUCAAGGUUAUCACUGACUACAAUAGACCUUAAUGCUCUUAAUAUUUUACUUAUAUCCAUUAUCAAAUCGACAUUUGAGCAUAAACUCAAAAAUAUCAGGUUACAUACCCAAUCACCAAAACAUCUAUUUCAAAUAACUGCACAUUUUAUUACUCCCAAAAUGAACUAAUGAGCUACUACUGAGCCUCGUACAAAAAUUUCAUGCAUAAGCUCUGAAUUCAUCUGCACGUAAUUUCUAUCUCAGAACAGUAACAUCAAUCUUCAGGUCAGACUUGAAAUUCAGAAUCAAAAUUCGACUCAUACUGAACUCGUUUAACUUACCAUUCAUUUGUACUUUUCUGAGAUUCUCAAUCUUGUAAUGAAAACAUCGCUUUAGUUUUUAAUCUAGCUAAAAUCAGAUCAUCAUCAAUUAAGAUCAAUCGUGUAACCUACUCACAAAAAAAACAAAGAUUUUUCCAUUCAGUAUCUGUAACUAUAUCUGCUUUCCCAGAGAUUAAUUAAUAACUACUCACAAUCUUCCAAUAGUUCAAGUCUUUAACAUUAUCUUAACUUCAGAUCUUUCUAUGACAUUCGAUACUUUAAUUCUUGAAAUCAGGAACAUGUGACACUUUUCGUUGAUUAGACUAUAUCACCAAAUUCUUAAUAUGGACAUAAAAGAGACCGUCUCUAAAUUACUGGUGGAACAGUUCUUUUUAAUGUGACAUUAACUGUAUAAAAACAUGAACCAUCACUUUACAUUCUAGUAAUAAAACACAUUGCAACCUGUUCAAUAGUGAAUCACUGAAAAAUCUUAAAUUCAUUACUCAAUUCAAACUGAACUCAGAACCAGAGCUUCGGUUAAUAAUAUCUUCAACUAUUUUCAACUUAGCUAACAUGCAUAGACCAUCCAAAUUUUCAUAAAUGUGAUAACCAUAUCAUUCAGAAUAGCUUUAACUUAUAAUAACAUCAUCAUAUUAGAACAAAUCUAAUAGGUAUAUCUCGGUAUCGUGCUCUCUAGAAUAUCAAUCCUUCAUUCAAAUUGUCCAUCGAUAUACUCGUGAAUGCACAAAAUUUAUUACCAUAACUGAGGAUACUUUAACUUCAUGUAACUCAAUCACAUUUCAACUGACCAGAUCAUUUGAUAAAAACAACUGAUUCAAUUUCGACUAUCAAAUAAUAACAUAACAAAAUGCUCCUUUCUUCACGCUAUUAAAAUCACUCAAACACACAAUCUUUCAAAAUUCUCUUAUCAUGCUAAUCAAAGACCUUUAUGAUUGCAUUUGCUCAAGGAAACAAAAUAUCUCGAUUGAACUCAUUAGCUUUAAUCAAACUUGCCUGGGGAAAGAAAACUAUUAUACCAUUUGAGUUUGAACUUUCACUAUCCAUACCUCUUCCGAUUGUAAUUUUUUUCACAAAAAUUUAAGGAAUCCUGAUGCCAGAAUCACCAUGUUCCCCGUGAUCAAACCAAGAUAACAUCCAUAACAGACAUAGCCAUCACAAGUUAAAGAAUACACAUACUAAAAGCCUGAGAACACAAUUCAAAAGGAAAUAGUAAUAAAGACCUUGACGGUUCCUCAGAAAAUUCCAGAAGAAAUUUAUGCGGAUUGUAACAAAGGUAACAUAUUUACAAUUAUACAUAUCUUAACUAAAUCAAUGCUCAGUAGUUGUAGAAUUAUAGCCUCACAUAAUUUUCACCAUUAACUUUUCAUAUCAAACAUAUUAGAGUAGACUCCAAAGAGAACGAUAAGAUAUACUAAUCAUCAAUCAGCCAAACCACAGUGCUUUCAUCUAACAUUAUUAUCAGCCCUCAUUCUCAUACGGUAAGAAUAUCAUCAAAUAAUGAACAAUCACACAUAUAUAUAUAUAAUUCCCAGAAGAGAUCAUCAUAAUCUACUCAAUCGCUAUUGUCAUUCUCAAACAUCUUUACAAGUCUUAAUUCGUUUCUCUAACCAUUUUUGUCAUUACCAAUCUUGUAACGCCCCGAAUUUGGGCCUAGAAGUAUUAGGUUUGAGCAGGGGUACAGUUAGGAGACUGCACAUACAUAUUUAAUUGUGCAAGGAAGUGACACAAUUGAGUGUUUGGCUUAAUGGUUGUGUUCUCUGGAAGUGCCUGGGAAGUCAUGGGUUCAAGUCCUAGCUUCCACGAAAUUUUGGUUUUUAAGGAUAAAACCCCUAUCUUUGGUCAAUAGGGUUAUAAAUAAAAUUUGGUAAGGUAUGACACAAAGAGCCUAGUGAUCUAGUGGAUGUCGCAUGUUGAUGGUUCCCUUGAGGUCUAAGGUUCAAGUCAUGGCAAGGUAAAAAGAGUAUUUAUUUUGCUCUCUUGCCAUGUGAGAAGUAGAAGCCGACUAGAACUUUGUAGGUAGGAUGUUUGAAUAAGUCAAUUAAGAAAUUCUAGGAGUAGAAUUAGGAAUGUGGAUAGGGAGUUGAUCGUUUGGAGUGAAUUUAGGAGAAUUAUGAGGGAUUUCAAAUGGAAGGAGGAGUUGUGGCUGAAUAGGGCAUUGAUCACUCAGGAUUUCAGCUAUAGGUUAGUUGUGGUCACUUCAUUAUGGGUUUUCUUGGCAAAUUGUGAUGAUUUUCACUCUUCACCUUAUAAGUCGAGCUUUACUUUUCUUUUCGUACAUCUUUUGGUAGGGUGAUUCGAUUCUUCUUCCCUCCCUUUCCAGUCUAUUGAAUAGGCCUAUUACCCUAACCACUGUUUCAGUUUUGAAUAGGUACUUCUUGACUCCAUGUUGCCUUUUCUUUUUCCCUCGCUCUAUUCCUCCUUGGUCGAAUAUACUCUUUUCUCUCUCUGACUCCAACAUUACACUCUUGACCGUAUACCUCUGGCGUUUGUGGCUGUACUUCUCUUCCUCCCCUCUCAAUCGUGCUAUUUUCUUCCGCUUAAACCGAAUAUCUACUAUGUUAACUGGGCAACGUCUGGAUUGGAGUCAAGGCUGACUUUUGGUUAGUUUUUUCUUCUCUAGGGGCCACGAUCUCUAUAGCCAAGGGAGUUAGGCUGAUUUUCCUUUCUUAGUGAGUAAACCUGUCGAUUCGUGGUAAGUACUUUAGGUAGUAUUUAUUUAUAAAGGAUUAUAACUUCUGAUGAAUCUGUUAGAGUGUUUCUCAAUACUUUGGUUUGGAUUUUCCACGAAUAUGACUAAUGGUGGAUCGUUGUGAAUCAUAGGUGCUUUGAUCUUGAAGGGUGUGUCAGCAGUUUCACAACAGGUGCACCCAAUUUUGCUACCGUCAAAACGUCAGAUAAACGUGUGUAUUCACACAUUAAAUAGACUGUAGAACGGUAAAAGACGAAGAGCCAAAAAACAGAAAUAAUGGCUUUUUGACCACAUGGGUGUGCGAACGCACAUGUGGUAAGCCAAGCCUAGGAAUCAUGGGCGUAAGACUGGAGAGGCCACCAUGAGCGUUCUCAUGGGCUUAGGCCGUUUUGGGCCUCGAUGGGCCAAAAUAGGCCGUAUGGGCCCAAUGAGCUUGUGGGCUCCACACGAGUAAAAUCAACGGUACGUGUUAAUUACUGACUUGGGCCGUGUAAUUCGCAUGGCCGUGGUAAAUUUUGGCUAAAUGGGCCACACGAGUGUGUGGGCCUACUUGGGCCAAGUAGUGGGCCUUGGGCCUAUUUACACCGUUAUGAUCAUUUAGGUUAUCUGUGUCACUCGAGGCGACUGUAGACCUUUGGAGAGGUCGUUAUCUGAGCUGAAACCCUAAAAUAUGUAAAAUAACCGUCAUACCCCUGUAAAGUAAAAUGACCGUUAUACCCUUGUAGGGUAAAAUGACCGUAAUGUCCCUGUAGGGUAAAAUGACCGUAAUACCCCUAUAAAGUAAAAUGGCUAUAAUGCCUUUGUAGGGUAAAAAGAUCGUAAUACCCCUGUAUGGUAAAAUGAUGAUUAUGCCCUUAUAUUUCGUAUGACUGAUAUGCUUAUGAUUUACAUAUAUGAUUGUACUAAAUAUGACUUUGCGUUAUGACAUGACAUACUGCAUAGGGUUGGGAUUUUGAUAUGGAGGAAGUACUAUAUUAGUGGCUUUGCCACGUAAUUACUGAUACUGGUGGCUUUGCCACAUUUACUGUUUCUGGCAGCUUUUUUGCAUUAUUAUUACCGGCAGCUUUGCUGCGAUAUUGGUGUGCUAGCUAAGUGGGUCGAUUUAUAUCCCUACAUAGUGUGUUGGUUGGUACAAGUGGUGUGCUAGCUGGAUUUGGGUGGGAUGCAUAAUUGCAUUACACUGUACUGAUAUUGUAUUGGGCUUAGGCCCACACUGUUAUUGUAUAGGGCUUAGGCCUAGACUGUACUGUUACUAAAUAGGGCUCAGGUCCAGAUUGUUACUACGUGCAUUGUUUACUAUUUGACUAAUAGGGGAUUACACACUGAGUUUUCGUAAACUCACCCUUUAUUUUAACUGUGCAGGUUGUAACACCCCGAACCCGAAACCGACACCGGAGUCGAACACGAGGUGUUAACUGACUUUAACCCCUUUACAAAAUUUAUUUUCCAGACACUGCCCAAUCUGUGUACUAGUCGUUUUUAAAAUCAUAUCUUGAGUUUCGUAACUCGAAAAUCAGUUUCGUAAUUUUUCCCAGAAACUAGACUCAUGUUCCCAUCUAUGUAUUUUUUUCUAGAAUUUUUGGUCGGGCCAAUUAGUUCAGUUUAUUAGUCAAAGUCUCCCAAGUUGCAGGGGUCGACUACACUGACCUUUGCCUAUUACGACUUGGAUAUCUCCCUGCACAGAACUUCAAUACUGAUGCCGUUUGUUUCUAUAGAAACUAGACUCAGAGAGGAAUCUAUACAUAUAUGGUACGACUCCUAAUUAUCUCUGGUUAAUUUAUAAUGAAUUUCCAAAGUCGGAGCAGGGAAUCCAGAAACCGUUCUGGCCCUGUCCCACGAGAACCUGAUUUUCUCUUAACAUACUGUCCAUAUGAUCUUUUCAUUACUUCUAUAUGAAAAUAGACUCAUCGAGCUUCGAUUACAUAAUUUAUUCAUCAAUCAAUUCCAUUCCUACUAUUUUUAGUGAUUUUUCAAUUUCAUGUCACUGCUGCUGCCAGCAUCUGUUACGAAGGCAACCAUGCCCACUUCAUGUUUACUCCUUGAUUCAACUAAUAAUUCCUCAUGCAUAUCACAAAUUAUGAUCAUGACUAACCAUGCCAAGGCUAAUCAUUGUCAACUUCUCCCUACUACAUUAUUGCCAUAUCAUAAAUUUUAACACCAAAAAAAUUUACCAUGACAUAUGGCAUAAAAAGGUCGAAUCAUCAAAAUUCACGACCUAACGUUAUGAAACCAAACCCAACCGAACAUUUAUGCCAUUUUCGCAUGGCUAAAAGUUUACAUACCAAAGUUCAAACACAACAUAAUAGCCUAUACAUGCCAAAAUGUUCUUCUAAGCCAACUAAGAAGAAAGUACCAAAACUUGCUAUCCGGUGUGAUGACUUCGAUGACGGCCUGACCCCGCGAAAAUAGAUGAGUCCAAGCAACCUAUAAUGGGUGACAAGGAAACACCGAGUGAGUUUAUAACUCAGUAAGUCAUAAGCAAUGCACUACCCUCCAUCAAUAACAUUAUCACAAGAGGAAACAAAAUGGAACGAGACAAUUUACUCCAUCCAUACCGAACCAUACCAUAGUUCCUCCAACCUAUCGGUUCAAUUUCAUAUCAAUUCAUGCAUUCACAAUCCAUAUACUCAUCAAUAGGACAUUGAAGCAUUUUCAUAGAUCAAUUUAUUUUCGUUACAAUCAAACAACAAAACGGCCUUUCACCCAUCCUACGAUAAAUUUUAUGUACGUGACUUCAAGUAUAGUUGUCACAUAGGUUCAUCUUACCGAGCUCAACACCAAGUAUAAGCAUAGCACAUAUUAGCCAUGUACUCAAGACACUUACCCGAUCCGCUGUCCGCGAUCGACUCAAUAGUGUCGCACACAUAGUGUCCAUAAUGAUUCACGAAUGUAUAUUGAGCCCGCACACUCAGUGCUAUAUAAUCAACUCGCACACUUAGUGCUACGUAAUCAAAUCGCACACUUAGUGCUACAUAGUCAAACUCGCACACUUAGUGCCGCAUGGUCAAUUCGCACACUUAGUGCAUCAUAUUCAUUUCGCACACUUAGUGCAACAUAGUCAAAUCGCACACUUAGUGCUGUACAAUUUAAUCCCGCGCACUUAGCGCCAAUCUCAUGGUCAUAAAUGGUUGUCCCGCACGUUUAGUGCCGAGAUCAACAACUCAGUACAUCUUACCUCUUUUCGUUCAUUCAACAAUUUCAUCAUCACAUACGUACAUGCAUAUAUAUAUAUGUAUAUUUAUUCAUUCCAUUCAGCAUCAAUACAUAACAUUAUGACCAUUGAAAUAAUACCAACUACAUGCUUAAUGACUUACCUCGUGUUGGGUAAGACGGUUCCAACUCGGCUACUCGAUAACCUUUUCAUUGCCUUUGCUCGAUUCACCUCCUUUAACUCCUUGAGCUAAAUCAAUAAUUUAACUAGUUUAACCACCUUGCUAAAUAUUUACAAUCCAAUUUCACAUGUAUAUGUAUGUUAGUAUAUUCGGCUAAUAACUUCAUGCAACUACCAUAUCAUCAAAAAUCUAAUCACACAUGCACAUACAUUAGGUAAGUUACCUUUGCUAAUUUUAAACCCAACAUCACACAAGCUCUCAAGAGAUGGCCGAAUGCCUCUUUUGUUACCCAACUAAUCAUUCAACAAUUCCAUCCCCUUUACCACCCUUUUAUGCCUAAUUAUCUAAAUCAAGAUAAGAUCAUCAACAUGCCUAACCAUAGCCGAAUGUGCAACAUUAAUCUAUCACCUCUAUCUCUUAAAUACUAUCAAGUUCAUUUACUUCCAAUUUCUUAAGUUCAACAUCUUAAUGCCCAUUAUAGCCACUUCCAUAAUCUACAUUUAAAAAUCGGCAACACCCACAUUCAACUAUCUUUGCCGAAUACUCCUCAACACUUAGACCAAAGUAUGCACAUUAAACUUAAUACAACUUUCAUUAUACCUUUCACCCUAAAACAUAAUUUAUAAAUCUUGCCCUUCCUUCCAUGUUUCGGUCAAUUAUUCAAAUUACCUCAUAGCAUGAACAUUUUUUUUUCAACUAAUCUAGCAUGACUCAUUCGGCCUUAACAAUGAACCUCUUUUCAUACAAGGACAAAAAUAAAUCAAAUGAACCUUCCAUCUAAACCCCAUUCUAUCUUCUACUCAUUCAAUAAUACAUGUAAACAACUACUAAUUCUAGUACUUUGAUACACGGUUUAGUGCCCAACCAUCAUAAAAGUUUGAAUCCUUCUUAAUAUUAUCAAAAUACAUUCACAAAUUGACUUAAACAUAUAAGAAGAUUUAACUAACACUUUAAAACUUACCUCCUACUAGCAAGAAGUAGUGCCGAAUUGCCUAAAGGAGAAUUUUCCUUUUUCUCUUCUUUGGUUUCGGUUUUGGCAAGGUGGAGAAGAAUAUGAACACUCCUCUUCCCUUUUUCUCUUUCAUUCCAUUUUAUUAUAAUUAUUUUAAGUCAUUUGUUAACUAAACAAAACAUAAUAAAUUAGAAUAAGUGGAGCACCAUCACUCCUUGGCCGGCCACCCAUCAUCUUUUGGGCAAUUUGACAUGCAAAACCACUCUUUUUGGUACAUGCACUAAUAGACCAUUUUGAAUUAGACUAUCAUAUUUUUACAAUGUCUCAAAUUGAUCCCAAUUAAUAAUUUCUCAUGCAAUUGGUAAAAUUAGGGAGUGAAACUUCCACAUACUCAUGUUCACACAUAAUAAGCAUAGAAUAUAGCAAGUAAUUAUUUUUACGACUCGGUCUUGUGGUCCCGAAACCACUUCCCGACUAGGGUCAAUUUUGGGCUGUCACACAGGUAAUCCUCAGCCUUAAACGGUUUGGAGCUGCGAGGGACUCGGAGGUGGCCAAACGAUUGCGGAUGUUCUACUUUUGACUUUAUUUAUUUAAAUUUCAUAUUGGGUUUUUGAUUAUGUAAUAAGGUCAUUUGUGGUUUUAACUUUUAUUUGGGCUUUGAUUUCUUACCUUAAACUACUAGACUAGGAAAAGAUGAGUUUUCAAAAUAAUAAGUGUUUUCAAGGAAAACACGUAUUUUAAACUUCAAGGUUUUUAAAAGUUUUCGCGAUUUUAUUCAGUUUAAGGAAUCAACGGUGAUAAAUAUGGCAAUCGUUUUGACAAAUUUAUUUCAAUUAGUAACAACUUAAUUUGCCAAAUUCUCUCAGGCAAUGAAAAUUAAAAGGGUUUUAACUUAUACAAGUCCUAUUUUUGAAAAGCACUUCGAUGUGAGACGCCAGAUUCUACCAUAACGUCUAGGCCAGGUUUGGAGGGUUACAUUUAGUGGUAUCAGAGCCAAGUUACAAAACUCAACUGUGGAAUGGGUUUUGAAAAGUAUUAGGAAUUUUUGGAAAGCAGUUCUUGAAGUAUUUUUGGAAGGUUUACCCGUGUGGCACACCAAGUCUCCAACGCCAAACCUGUAAGUUCUCUAACAUUGUUUACUAUUAUAGACUGAAAUGUUAUGCUAUAGGUAGUGGUACUAUACUGGAAAUCACAGAGUCUGAGUUAACUGAGACUGUAGGAAAACUGUGACUGUAGAAGACUGAAAACUGUAGUGAGACUCUACUAUUCAAAAACAAAACUUUAACCAUUGCUUGAUCAUAAAAUAUUGAUUAAUAAUUAUUGGAAUUAUGAAUUGAUACAUGGAAAAGGUACAUGUAGCCACGGUAGAGGUCGAGGAAGUGUUAGGGAUGGGUUUUCAGCUUUGGGUCACAUGUCUGCUAGAGAGGCACUAGCUUCACCAGAACAUGAGAUGGUUUAGGAGUCGGAAGUCAAGGUAAGUCCGCCAACUUCGGAUAGUGAUAACCUGGAGCUUGGUACUGAGACACUAACUCGGUUAGUAAGGGAAGUGCUGGAGGAUGUUAAGGAGAUUUGUGAAACACAUCGGGCUAGGUGUGUAGACUGUAAGAAGAAGAGAGGUCAUAGUUCUCUAGGCUGGAGCCUCGUUCUGUGAAGCAUGUUAUAACGCAUCCAAACUUUUUGACUUGUAAGCAUUGCAGAAGGCGUCAUCUGGGCGAAUGCUAGAGGAAGUCAAGAGCAUGUCUCAAAUUUGAGUCUAAAGAACAUAGGGCUUGGGACUGCCAAAUCACUUUUAAGUCAAGUAUGUUUUGUUUGAGUGUAAUAAUUUGGACAUAGAGAUUGCAUGCGUGUAAUAUCUAUCUGCUCCAGUGGGUGAGUGUUUUGUGUAAGAAGUUCCAAGUUCAAGUUAAAGUGUAUUAGUAGUAUUGGGAUCAGAGUGCGCAGCGAGAGCGUAGUGGUGUAGUUGUUACGCGACUACCCUGCUAGUUGGAAAAUUUCGAGGACAAAAUUUCUUUAAGGAGGGGUGAAUUGUAACGCCUCGAAUUUGGGCCUAGAAGUAUUAGGUUUGAACGGGGGUGCAGUUAGGAAACUGCACAUAAAUAUUUAAUUAUGCAAGGAAGUGACACAAUUGAGUGUUUAGUUUAGUGGUUCUGUGCUUUGGAAGUGUCUGGGAAGUCGUGGGUUCAAGUCCUAGCUUCCAUGAAAUUUUGGUUUUUAAGGAUAAGCCCCUAUCUUUGGUCAGUAGGGUUAUAAAUAAAAUUUGGUAAGUAUGACACAAAGAUCCUAGUUAUCUAGUGGAUGUGGCAUGUGGAUGAUUCCCUUGAGGUCUAAGGUUCAAGUCAUGGCAAGGUAAAAAGAGUAUUUAUUUUACUCUCUUGCAAUGUGAGAAGCAAAAGCCGACUAGAACUAUGUAGGUAGGAUGUUUGAAUUAGUCAAUUGAGAAAUUCUAGGAGUAGAAUUGGGGAUGUGGAUAGGGAGUUUAUCGGUUGGAGUGAAUUUAAGAGAAUUUUAAGAGAUUUCAAAUGGAAGGAGGAGUUGUGGCCGAAUAGGGCAUUGAUCACUUAGGAUUUUGGCUAUAGGUAAGUUGUGGUCACUUCAUUUCAGGUUUUUUUUUGGCAAAUUGUGAUUCUUUUCACUCUUCACCUCGGAAGCCGAGCUUUACUUUUCUUUUCGUAUAUCUUUUGGUAUGGUGAUUCGAUUCUUCUUCCCUCCCUUUCCAGUCUAUCGAAUAGGCCUAUUACCCUAGAAACUGUUUCAGUUUUGAAUAGGUACUUCUUGACUCAUGUUGCCUUUUCUUUUUCCCUCUCUCUAUUCGUCCUUGGCGAAAUAUACUCCUUUCUCUCUCUGACUCCAACAUUACCCUCUUGACCGAAUACCUCUGGCGUUUGUAGUCAUACUUCUCUUCCUCCCCUCUUAAUCUUGCUAUUUUCUUCUACUUAAACUGAAUAUCUCUUGUGUUACCUGGGCAGCGUCUGGAUUGGAGUCAAGGCCGAUUUUCAGUUAGUCUUUUCUUAUCUCAGGGGCGCGAUCUCUAUAGCCAAAGGGGUUAGGCCGAUUGUCCUUUCUUAAUAAGUAAUCAUGUCGAUUCGUGGUAAGUACUUUAAGUAGUAUUUAUUUACAGGGGAUUAUAACUUCUGAUGAAUCUGUUAGAGUGUUUUUAAUACUUUGGUUUGGAUUUUCCACGAAUAUGACUAAUGGUGGAUCGUUGUGAAUCUUAGGUGCUUUGAUCUUGGAAGGGUGCGUUAGCAGUUUCAUAACAGGUGUGUAAUCGUACACCCAAUUUUGCUACUAUCAAAACGUCAGAUAAGCGUGUAUAUUCACACACUGAAUAGACUGUAAAACGAAAAAAGCCGAAAAGCCAAAAGAAUGGCCUUUUAACCACAUGGGUGUGCGAACGCACAUAUGGUAAGCCAAGCCCAUGAAUCAUGGGCGUAAGACUGGAGAGGCCACCAUGAGCGUUCACAUGGGCUUAGGCUGUUUUGGGCAUCGAUAGGCCGAAAUGGGUCAUAUGGGCCUAAUGGGCUCGUGGGCUCCACACGAGUAAAAUCAACGGUAUGUGAUAAUUACUGAUUUGGGUCAUGUAGUUCGCAUGGCCGUGGUAAAUUUUGGCUAAAUGGGCUACACGAGUGCAUAGGCCCACUUGGAUCGAGUAGUGGGCCUUGGGCUUAUUUACACCGUUAUGAUCAUUUAGGUUAUCUGUGUUGCUCGAGUCUACUGUAGACCUUCGGAAAGGUCGUUAUCUGAGCUGAACCCCAAAAUAGGUAAAAUAAUCGUAAUACCCCUGUAAGGUAAAAUGACCAUUAUACCCCUGUAGGGUAAAAUGAUCGUAAUGUCCUUGUAGGGUAAAAUGAUCGUAAUACCCCUGUAGGUAAAAUGACCGUAAUACCCCUAUAGGGUAAAAUGACUAUAAUGCCCUUGUAGGGUAAAAUGAUCGUAAUACCCCUUUAUGGUAAAAUGAUGAUUAUGCCCUUAUGUUUCGUAUGACUGAUGUGCUUAUAAUUUACAUAUAUGAUUGUACUAAGUAUGACUUUGCAUACACGUAAUAUUUAUGACAUGACAUACUGCAUGGGGUUGGGAUUUUGAUAUGGAGGAAAUACUAUAUUAGUGGCUUUGCCACGUUAUUACUGAUACUGAUGGCUUUGCCACAUUUACUGUUUCUGGCAACUAUGCUGCAUUAUUAUUACUGGCAGCUUUGCUGUGAUAUUGGUGUACUGGCUGGGUGGGUCGAUUUAUAUCCCUACAUGGUGUGUUGGUUGGUACGGGUGGUGUGCUGGCUGGAUUUGGGUGGGAUGCAUAAUGGCAUUACACUGUACUGAUAUUGUAUUGGGCUUAGGCCCACAUUGUUACUGUAUAGGGCUUAGGCCCAGACUGUACUAUUAUUGAAUAGGUCUCAGGCCCAGACUGUUACUGUUUGCAUUGUUUACUGUUUGACUGAUAGGGGAUUACACAUUGAGUUUUUGUAAGCUCACCCUUUCUUUUAACUGUGCAGGUAAUCCUCAACCUUAGACGGUUUGGAGCCGCUAGGGACUCGGAGGUGGCCACACAAUUGCGGAUGUUCUACGUUUGACUUUAUUUAUUUAAAUUUCAUAUUGGGUUUUUGAUUAUGUAAUAAGGACAUUUGUGGUUUUAACUUUUAUUUGGGCUUUGAUUUCUUACCUUAAACUGCUAGACUAGGAAAAGAUGAGUUUUCAAAAUAAUAACUAUUUUAAAGGAAAACACGCAUUUUAAACUUCAAGGUUUUAAAAGCUUCUACGUUUUUAUUUAGUUUAAGGAAUCAACGUUGAUAAAUAUGGAAAUCAUUUUGACAAAUUGAUUUCAAUUAGUAACAACUUAAUUUGCCAAAUUUUCUCAGGCAAUGAAAACCAAAAGGGUUUUAACUAAAAUUCGAAUACUUAACGACAAGUCCUAUUUUCGAAAAGCACUUCGAUGUGACAUGCUAGAUUCGGUCAUAACGUCUAGGCUGGGCUUAGGGUGUUACAAAUCCCGUAUUAUUCAAUUCACUAACGAAAAUCAAUCCGGAAGAAAUUCCAGCAAACACAUACUUUAGUCAUCAUACUUGUUUAAGUCGAUUAACCGAGAUUAACUUUUUCUCUAACCGUGACUUUGCAAAGUCCAAAUAGUCUUUAGAAUAACCUAGCAUCCUUUCCGAAAUUGUAUUUACUUACUCAACUAUUUUCAACUCUAUCCACAUUAUUAGCAAAGCCGCUACUAAACUCUUUUCACUGGUGAACUCAUGCAGCACAAAUCUUAUGAAAUUUCAUUAUAAGAUAUCACAUUAGUAAGGGGGUGCGGUCGUAAAACCUCUCACUUGACUCUCAUACAUACACAUAUGGCUUAACAUUCAUCAUCAUCAUCACAAUUAUACAACUUACUUCAGGCAAUUUAACACACAUAUUUAUGCUACACUAACUUUUUGAUUAUCUUAUUCAAAUAAGUGCGCUUAUACAUGCAUUCCACAAAUAUUGAGUAAGUUUACUUACUGCAUUCACUUAAUCAUACAAGUCAAACACAUAACAUCAUAUGAAGGUCAAACAAACAUGAAUGCUUAUCAUAAUACAAAUUUGCAUUUUAUGUUACUUUCCCAAAUUUCAAGAAUAAUUCCCCUUUACACUAUUUUAAUUUCAAGGAAUAUUCAAAUAGUAUGCUCAAGGUAUUUAUAUUAACAAUAUAUCAUUUCAUUUUUAAAAAAUGCCCCUUUUUGGCACAUAUUCAUAAUACACACUCUAGAGUCACAUAAGAUAUAACAAUACUACCAGUCCAGGUUAAAGCCUUUUCAUAACAUUUAUAACAUUUUACCCAUUUCAUAAAAUCAUCACAAUAAAUCAAAAUACUACAUUCAACCAAAAUAAUAGCAUCUUACUCAUAAUUUUCAACUUCUGGAUGUUUCAUUUUUGUACCUCAUUACAUACACGUCAUGAACUAUUAUUCAUACCCAUUCAAGUUUCAAUUUAUCACAAAUACAUUUUCAAAUAUCCCAAUGUCAUUUCCAGCAUUUUCAAAAAUAGCUUGGUUUGAAGGCACCUCUGUCUCAACAAAACAAUUUCAUCAGAGUCGAGAGAUAUCACACUAUCACAGUUCAUAUAUGACAUGUAUAGCCAGACUCUUACACAUGCUAGGUUAGUCCGAGAGCUAACUAAAUCAUAAUUCCGAUACCACUAAAUGUAACACCCCUUACCUGUGUCCGACACCGGAAUAGGGUAUGAGGCAUUACUAGAUAUAAACACAUGCAAUCGUAUAAAAUCGGGUCAUGAAUUUGCGUUCAAAUUUAAAAAUUUUCACAUUUCAUCUUAGAGUCCUUAAUAUGGGCCUACGAAGCCCAAAUCAUGCUUUGGAAACAGUUUGGGACCAAAACGAGGACUUUAGAAAACUUUGAAAAUUUUCAUGAAAAAUAGGGGCACACUCCCGUGUGAUAUUAGGACAUGGCCGUGUGGCUCAUGUGGCCAUGUCCCUAGCCCAUGCACUAAUAUGACUUGCCAUUGUGAACAAAUUUACACCACACAUAGAUAUCACCACUCAUUCAUCCACAUAUGUAAGCAUACACAUCCUUGAAAUGCAUCAUCAUGGACUUAUAAUAUAGCCAAUAUACCAACAUCAAAUGGCCUAACACAAUAAUGAACUUUCAAAUAGCAUAGGCCAACAUUUUAGGCCAAAACAAUUAUGACAGAAACAAAAAUAACCAAGUCCCCUAUACAUGCCAUGACCUUAAGUAUAAGAAUUAUCAAUACCCAAUUUGUUAAUUGAUAGUGUGUAGGUUCUCCGGCGACUUCCAACUCGAGCUAACCUGAGGAUAUUAUAAACACAGAAAAUAAACAGAGUAAGCUAUAUAGCUUAGUAAGUUAGUAUGUAAAUAAUAAGAAAUUUAUUAACAUGUUUUUACCAAUUCUCACCAUAUGUUCUCAAGAUAAUACAAUCAUAAUUGCACAUAGUUCCACUAUUUACUCUUGUUCAUCUCAAGUUGUCUACUCAAGUCAUAGUCACUAAAUUAUUUAUAUCAUGAGCUACGGAACUCCAAAUUAAGAUCCGCUAAUUUUCCUGAAACUACACUCACAUAUCUUCUUAUCAUAAAAUUUAGAAUUUUUGGUCUAGCCAAUAAGUACAGUUUAUUCCUUAAAGUCUCCCUUAUUUUGAUGUUUGACAAUUCCAACCCCUCUUCACUAAAAAUUAAUUAUCUCCUCAUACGGGAUUCGGAUGACGUUUCUGUUUGUUUCUUUUGAAAAUAGACUCAUUAAGGAUUUUAAGCAUAUAAAUUAUAAACCAUAUUUUUUUUUGUACAAUUUUUAAUGAUUUUCCCAAAUUAGAAUAGGGGAUUUCAAAAUCAUUCUGAACCUAUCUCACAAAAAUUCAAAUACAUCAUAAUAUGAAAUUCUUUUGCUUACACCGUUUCUUUUAUGUGAAAAUAGACUCAAUAAGUUUUAGUUUCAUAUCUUAUUCAACCUCUAAUUUGAUUUCCACCAUUUUUGAUGAUUUUUCAAAAUCAUACAACUAUUGCUGUCUAAAACUGUUUUAUUGUUAAUUUUACUUUCUCACGUUUUCUUUGUAUUAACUUUCAUUCAACAUUCACAUAGAUUCCAUACGUACCUGUAUCGCUUAAAUCAAUUAUACUUCCAUUUUUUUAUCUUGGCUAGGUCAAUUGAUACACUUAAACCUCAACGAAAGCACAUUAUUUCAAUUCAACAUCAAAUAAUAUUAUUGGUUCAUAAUUCUUUCACAUUUAAUCAUCACAUAGUCAUAUUCGUUUACACUUAGUCAUUUCCCGUUGAACACAUCAGAAUAAUAACGGAUACACGAUGGCCUUCACAUAGUACCACCCUUGUAGCCAAAGCUAUUUUAUUCACAAAGUGGCCUUCACAUAGUACCACACUUGUGUCCAAAGCUAUUAUAUUCACAAAGUGGCCUUCACAUAGUACCGCACUUGUGUCCAAAGCUAUUUUAUUCCUAAGGUUCAACCAGGAAAUUUCUCACUUAGCAUAAUGCAAUGGACUUAUUUCACUUAGCACAUUGUCAUGGACUUAUUUCACUUAGAUGCCAUGGUCUUAUUUCACUUAGCACAAUGUCGUAUCCUAUAUAUGGUCAUACAUGCGAAUCACUUAUUUCACUUAGCACAUUGCCAUGGUCUAACUACCGUCAAUUUAUAUAUCACUACGCAAUAAUCGUGAUCAAUCCUGUGUUUUUACUCAAGUUCUCAUUCGGCCAUAGCACACACAACAUGUUAGCCGAUUUUCCCACUUAACAUCUAAUGCACAUAUAUGCUCAUUUGUCUAGCUCAACUUCACCUAUCUACCAUUACUCAUAAAAAGAACAUGAAACAACAACCAUUUCCUUCAAUUCAAUUCAUGUCCGAAUGCUCACAACACAACAAUUUUCAAAAUUUAAUCAUGGGUUAACUAAGCAAUGCUUUGACCAUGCUAAUUUCGCAAGAAUAUCAAGAAAAUACAUGGAACAUACCUUUGAAUCAUGCUAAGAAAAUGACUGAAUGUGCUUGAGCUUUUUCCUCUCCUUUUUUCUUAAUUUCGGCUAUGAAGAACAAAGAUGAACAAGCUUUGUCCUUUUCAUCAUUUUGUUAUUUUAUUUAUCUUUAUUUUAUAAUAUAAAGCCAUUAAAUAUUAUAAUGCUAAUUUAAAAUGCAUAUAUUGUUUAUCAUCAUCAUUAUGGCCGGCCACUACAAAUUAAAGUGAGAAAUUUGACAUGAAAGUCCACCUAUUUUAAACCAUAAAAUAUUUGGCCACUACAAAUUAACCUAUCACAUUUUCAAAAUUUCUCACAUAAGUCCUAUUUAAUAAUUUCACAUACAAAUGACAAAAUCAAAGCAUGAAAGUUUCACACAUGCACUUUCACAUAUAAUAAGCAUAGAAUAUAACAUUUAAUUAUUUUUGUGACUCGGUUUUGUGGUCCCAAAACCACUUUUCGACUAGGGUCAAAUAAGUGCUGUCACAACUCUCCUCCCCUUAGGAAUUUUUGUCCCCGAAAAUCUUACCAGCGAAUAAAUUAGGGUAUCGUUCUUUCAUGGAGUCUUCAAGCUCCCAAGUAGCUUCUUCAACCCCGUGUUUGACCCACAACACUUUCACUAACGAAAUUGUUUUAUUUCGCAAUUCUUUCACCUCAUUAGCCAAAAUACGAACCGGUUCCUCUUCAUAACUCAAAUCAGACCGAUUUUCUAUCUCUAAUGGACUAAUCACAUGAGAAGGAUCGGAUCUGUACCGACGGAGCAUCGAAACACGAAAAACGUCAUGAAUCUUUCCAAGUUCAGGUGGCAAAAGUAGUCAAUAAGCAACCGGCCCAAUCCGUUAUGUAAUUCCGUAUGGUCUGAUAAAUCUCGGGCUCAAUUUGCCUUUACGGCCAAAUCUGAGUACCUUUUUCCAUGGUGAAACUUUAAGAAACACUUUGUCUCCGACUUGAUACUCUAUAUCUUUCCGUUUGAAGUCCGUAUACGAUUUCUGACGAUCUGGUGCUACUUUCAAACUUUCACAAAUCACUUUUACUUUCUGUUCGGCCUCUUUAAUCAAAUCAACUCCGUAAAUCUUAUUCUCACUAAGUUCGGUCCAAAACAAAGGUGUACGACAUUUACGACCGUACAAAGCCUCGUAAGGUGCCAUCUUGAUGCUCGAUUGAAAACUAUUGUUAUAUGCGAAUUCAAAUCGUUCCCACGAGGCACUAAACUCAAGGAUGCAACAUCUCAACAUAUCCUCAAGUAUCUGAAUAAUUCGCUCGGAUUGACCAUUGGUCUGGGGAUGAAAAGCGGUGUUAAAAUACAACUUAGUACCCAAUGCUUCUUGCAAUUUCUUCCAAAACCGCGAUGUGAAUCUCGGAUCUCUAUCCGACACAAUAGAAGUAGGUACCCUGUGUAACCUUACAAUCUGAGAAACAUACAGUUUGACUAACUUAUCAAGUGAAUAAUCUGUACGUACGGGAAUAAAAUGAGCCGACUUUGUCAAUCUAUCAACAACAACCUAGAUCACAUCUUUCUUGCUUGGAGACAAUUGCAACCCAGAUACAAAAUCCACUGUGACUCGAUCCCACUUCCACUCAGGUAUCAUGAUCGGCUGAAGUAAUCCCGAAGGCACUUGAUGUUCCGCUUUCACUUGUUGACAUAUCAAACACUUCAAAACAAAGUUAGAAAUGUCUUGUUUCAUACCGUGCCACCAAUACUGACAUUUCAGAUCAUUGUACAUUUUCGUACUACCCGGGUGAACUAACAUUCGGCUGCUAUGAGCCUCGUUCAAAAUCAUCAGAAUAAGCUCUGAAUUUCUCGAAACAUAUAAUCGAUUUCUAAACCUUAAACAAUCAUUGCUAUCAAUCAAAAACUCUGAAUUCUCUUUUGAAACACAUAGUGCUCGUUUUACAAUUAAAUCAUCAUCACCUUUUUGAGCUUCACGGAUUUGUUGCAUCAAUAACGGUUUUGCUUUUAACUCCACUACUAAUACAUCAUCAGUGGAAACAGACAGGUGCACAUUCAUUACUCGCAAAACAAACAGUGAUUUACAGCUUAAAGCAUCAGCAACCACGUUAGCCUUUCCCGGAUGGUAAUCAAUGACAAUAUCAUAAUCUUUCAAUAAUUCUAGCCAACUUCUUUGUCUCAAAUUCAAAUCUCUUUGAGUCAUCAAGUAUUUGAGGCUUUUGUGAUCAGAAUACACAUGGCAUUUUUCCUCGAACAAGUAGUGGCGCCAAAUUUUCAAAGUGAAAAUAAUAGCAGCUAACUCAAGAUCAUGAGUCAGAUAGUUUUUCUCAUGUGGCUUCAAUUGUCUCGAAGCGUACGCUACAACUCUACCCUCUUGCAUCAACACAUAGCCCAAACCAUUCAGAGACGCAUCACUAUAGAUCAAAAAUUCUUUACCAGAUUCUGGCUGAACUAACACUGGAGCUUCAGUCAAAAGAGUUUUCAAUUGAUCAAAACUUUUCUGGCACUUUUCUGACCACUCAAAUUUGAUGUCUUUCUGAAGCAACUUUGUCAUCAGUGUUUCUAUCAUCGAGAAACCUUUCACAAACUGUCUGUAGUACCUGGCAAGUCCCAAAAAAACUUCAAACUUCUGAAACAUUUCUCGGAGGCUUCCAAUCGAGUAUAGUUAAAAUUGUACUCGGAUCAACUCGGAUACCCAAUGCGGAUACAACAUGCCCCAAAAAGCUAACUUCUCUCAACCAGAAGUCACAUUUACUGAACUUCGCAUAUAAUUGCUUGUCUCGCAAAAUCUACAAUACUAACAUCAAGUGCUCAGCAUGUUCAGUUUCAUCGCGUGAAUAGAUCAAAAUUUCAUUUAUAAACAUGACUACAAACCGAUCCAAAUACUGUCUGAAAAUCUGAUUCAUUAGAUCCAUAAAAACUACAAGGGCAUUAGUAAGCCCAAACGGCAUCACUAAGAACUCGUAGUGUCCGUACCUCACUCUGAAAGCAGUUUUAGGUACAUCAGAGUCUCUAACUCGCAACUGAUAAUAACCCGAUCUCAAGUCUAUCUUCAAAAAUAAUGAGGCUCCUUUCAGUUGAUCAAACAAAUCAUUGAUUCGCGGCAACAGAUAUUUAUUCUUUAUCGUUACUUUAUUAAGUUGACGAUAAUCAAUACACAUUCUCAUAGUUCCGUCUUUCUUUUCCACAAACAAUACUGGCGCACCCCAGGGAGAAAAACUCGAUCGAGCAAAACCUCUCUCUGUCAACUCUUACAACUGAGAUUUCAAUUCUUUUAGUUCAUUUGGUGCCAUACGAUACGGAGCUAUCAAAAUCGGUGUAGUCUUUGGUACAAGUUCAAUACCAAACUCUACCUCCAGAACAAGGGGUAAUCUAGGUAAUUCCUCAGGGAACACACCCAGAUAUUCACAAACUACGGGCACAGUCUCAAGUUUCUUUUCUGAUUCUUUACUAUCCAGUACAUACGCAAGAUAUGCUUCACACCCCUUUUUCACAUAUUUCUCAGCCAACAUCAAGGAUAUCACUACCGGUAAUCCAUUCAAAUAGGUAGACUCAACUCGAAUUAUCUCAUUAUUUGAACAUCUCAAAUCAAUUGUCUUUCGCUUGCAAUUCACUACUGCAUCAUGCACAGUUAACCAAUCCAUACCAAGAAUUAUAUCAAACUCAUCAAACGGUAAUAACAUUAAAUCAGCCAGAAAGCAAGAAUCUCGGAUCAUCAGGGGACAUUUCUUACAUACUUUGUCAACUAGCACAUAACGGCCCAAAAGAUUCGACACCCGAAUCACAAACUCAGUAGACUCAACAUGUGACAGCCCAAAAUUGACCCUAGUCGGGAAGUGGUUUUGGGACCGCUAAACCGAGUCAUCGAAAGGUUUGAAUGUGAUGUUUAUUGUCUAUAAUAUGUAAUCAUGAAUGUGUGAAAAUUUCAAGCUUCGAUUUAGUCGAUUGCAUGUGAAUUUAGUCAAUAGGACUUAUAUGAGAAAAUUUUAAAAUGUGAUAGGUCAAUGCAUGAGGACCUAUUAGUGCAUGUGGAAGAAAAAGGGGACUUGCAUGUCAAAUUCCCCCUCCCUAAUAUGUAGUGGCCGGCCAUGCUAUGGGUGGAAACAUGUCACCAACAUGUUGUGUUAGUGAUGUAUGGUAAGGAAAAUAAAAUAAUAAGCAUGAUAAUUAAAUAAUGAAAGGAAGGGUGAUGGAAAAAAAAUAACAUGGUCUCACCCCCUUGUUGCCGUGAGUUGAAGAAAGAAAACAAAAAAAAAUGUGUUCAUUCUUGAACACCUUUGGCCGAAUAGAGGAAAGAAAGGAAGGGGAAGAGCUUGAGAAAAUCGGCUAUGGUGGUUUGCUAGACUAAGGUAUGUUUGAUGUUGUUCUUGAGAUGCAUGCAUGUUUUAGUAGUUGACUUGAGUUCUAAAAACCCAUGGUUCAAUUUUGUGGAUUGAUGAUGAUUUUGUGUUUUGCCAUUGAUGAGUGCUUGAGCUUUUUGAUAGUUGUUGAUGAAAAGCGAAAGAUAUGUUAAAGAUUAAUAUGUUUUGUGUUGAAGUUUUUGGUGAUUUUGAGUGGUUAGGGCUAAAUUACAAAAAUAAAUUUUUGAAGGACUCAAAGGUGAAAUAAAUGAAAUGUAUGGACUUAUAUGGGUGCUAGGAAGAUUCGGCCCUUAAGGAGUGUGACCAAACUUUGUGUAUUUUGUGUUUUGUGGAAUAAAGACUAAAUUGUGAAAGUGCGAAAUAUUAGGGGUAAAAAUGUAAUUUACCCAUUUAUGCGUUAUUAGACUAAAUUGAAUGAAAAUAUGUUAAAAUGAGAUUUAUUUGAAUAUGUUAAGAUCAAGAAACCAAGGAAUUGGAUUUAGAUCGGGGAAAAUCGAAAGUAGUUGAGUAGCCGAUCAUUUAGUCGACGACAUCCGAAGAAAGUUUAUAAGCAAUUAGAUAUUAAAAUUUCGGAAUAAAUGUUAGCUAUAUAUGCUGAAAUGGAAAUAUGAUAAAUGUAUAUAUAGCUGAAUGUGAUAUGUGUGAAUUAUAUGUUAAAUUAAGGCUUGGUAAGCUAGCUAUUAAGGUGAAAUGCUAAUGUUAGUAUUUGAUUUGGUAAUAAUCUGUUUGGGGACAGCAGCAGUAAGGUGAUUUUGGAAAAUCGCCAUAAUUUGUAGGAGUUGAAUUAGAAGCUGAGUGAAUUAUGCCGUUAAAGCUUGAAGAGUCUAUUUUCUUACAAAAGAAACUAUAAAAACAAAAGAGUUACCGAUCUUGAGAUAUUUGAAGUAUUGUGGGGCUGAGUCAAAAUGACUACUAGAUUCCCUGUUCUGUUUUUAGAAAAUCAUUAUAAAUUGUACAAAAAUGAUUAUAAGAUAAAAUUUAUAUGCUUAGACUCCUUAAUGAGUCUAGUUUCAAAUGAGAUCAACUACAACACAUUUUGAAUUCUGUAAAAUGAGAAAUUUGAUUCGUAGUGAAGAGUGGUCAGAAUAGUCAAACAGUGAAACAGGGGAAACUUUAAGAAAAAUCUGGUAUUGAUUGGCCAAGCCUAAAAUUCUGAAAAUUUUAUGGAUGGAAGAUAUACGAGUCUAUAUUCAGGGAAAAUUAACGGCUAGUGAUUUGGAGUUUUGUAGCUCCAGUUAUAAACAAUUUAGCGACUACUGCUCAGGAAAACAGCUCGUAGUGAAUAUGUGAUUUUGUUGUAAACAUUAAUGAAAAUUUGCCAAUGAGUUAUUUAUUGAUUAUUAUAAAGCUUACUAUAAUCUAUGUGUGUGAAAGUCAAAUCAAUAUAUAUAUUAUUCUGAAAGUAAUACUUGAAUAGUCGAUUAAUGACUAUUUUAAAUUUUGUCGAACUUAAGCUCAAGAGUAAAAAGGGAACUAGAUCCGAUAAAGGCAAAGAAAAGAUCACUGAGUAGCCGAGUUGGAACCGUCUUACCCAACACAAGGUAAGUCAUUAAGCAUGUAGUUGGUAUUAUUUCAAAUGGUCAUAAUGUUUAUGUAUUGAUGCUGAAUGGAAUGAAUAAAUAUAUAUAUAUAUGCAUGUACGUAUGUGAUGAUGAAAUUGUUGAAUGAAAAGAAAAGAGGUAAGAUGUACUGAGUUGUUGAUCUCGGUACUAAACGUGCGGGUAUAACCAUUUAUGACCAUGAGAUUGGCGCUAAGUGCGCGGGAUUAAAUUGUACAGCACUAAGUGUGCGAUUUGACUAUGUUGCACUAAGUGUGCGAAAUGAAUAUGAUGCACUAAGUGUGCGAAUUGACCAUGCGGCACUAAGUGUGCGAGUUUGACUAUGUAGCACUAAGUGUGCGAUUUGAUUACGUAGCACUAAGUGUGCGAGUUGAUUAUAUAGCACUGAGUGUGCGGACUCAAUAUACAUUCGUGAAUCAUUAUGGACACUAUGUGUGCGACACUAUUGAGUCGAUCGCGGACAGCGGAUCGGGUAAGUGUCUUGAGUACAUGGCUAAUAGGUGCUAUGCUUAUACUUGGUGUUGAGCUCGGUAAGUUUGAACCUAUGUGACAAAUAUACUUGAAGUCACGUACAUAAAAUUUAUUGUAGGAUGGGUGAAAGGCCGUUUAGUCGUUUGAUUGUAACGAAAAUAAAUUGUUUUAUGAAAUUGCCUCAAUGUCCUAUUGAUGAGUAUAUGGAAUGUGAAUGCAUGAAUUGAUAUGAAACUGAAUCGAUAGGUUGGAGGAACUAUGGUAUGGUUCGGUAUGGAUGGAGUAAAUUGUCUCGUUCCAUUUUGUUUCCUCUUGUGAUAAUGUUAUUGAUGGAUGGUAGUGCAUUGCUUAUGACUUACUGAGUUAUAAACUCACUCGGUGUUUCCUUGUCACCCAUUAUAGGUUGCUUGGACUCAUCUAUUUUUGCGAGGUCAGGCCGUCAUCGAAGUCAUCACACCGGAUAGCAAGUUUUGGUACUUUCUUCUUAGUUGGCUUAGAAGAACAUUUUGGCAUGUAUAAGCUAUUACGUUGUGUUUGAACCUUGGCAUGUAAACUUUAAGCCAUGCGAAAAUGGCACGAAUGUUCGAUUGAGUUGGAUCAAGGGUAGGCAUGAAAUGGACCUAGUUACUUUCGUAACAGAUGCUGGCAGCAGCAGUGUCAUGAGAUUGAAAAAUCACUAAAAAUAUUAGGAGUGGAAUUAAUUGAUGAAUAAAUUAUGUAAUCGAAGCUUGAUGAGUCUGUUUUCAUGAGGAAGUAACGAAAAGAUCAUAUGGGCAGUAUAUUAAGAGAUAAUCAGAUUUUUGUGGGACAGGGCCAGAACGGUUUCUGGAUUCCCUGCUCCGACUUUGGAAAUUCAUUAUAAAUUAACCAGAGAUAAUUAGGGGUCGUACCAUAUAUUUACAGAUUCCUCUCUGAGUCUAGUUUUCAUAGAAACAAACGGCAUCAGUAUUGAAGCCCCGUGCAGGGAGAUAUCCAAGUCGUAAUGGCCAAAGGUCAGUGUAGUCGACCCCUGCAAUAUGGGAGACUUUGACUAAUAAACUGUACAAAUUGGCCCGACCAAAAAUUCUAGAAAAAAAUACAUAGAUGGGCACAUGAGUCUAGUUUCUGGGAAAAAUCACAAAAUUGAUUUUCGAGUUACGAAACUCAAGAUAUGAUUUUUAAAACGACUAGUACACAGAUUGGGCAGUGUCUGGAAAAUAAAUUUUAUAAGGGGUUAAAGUCAGUUAACACCUCGUGUUCGACUCCGGUGUCGAUUUCGGGUUCGGGGUGUUACAUUUGAUUGGUAUCAGAGCUAUGGUUUAGUCGGUUCUAGGACUACCAUAGCGCGUAUGAGUCUAGCUAUACAUGCCGAAUGUUAAUGUUUAAAUGUGUGAUGACUUCUGACGGUUGAAAUGUUUUUGUUUUGAUUUGUAAAUGGACCCCGGUGAAGAAAGAACCCUAGCGGAUGACGUUGAGAGCGUAGCGGCUGCUCCUGCACAAGGGACGCCGCGACGCCGCCUGUUGAACCUCAGUCAUCUGCGAAUAAUCAAGGUGAGGGGGCUAAACAAGCCUUCUUUACCAUGAUGAAUGAGUGGGUCGCGCAAUAUGCCCGAACCAACCCGGCUGUCCAACAAUUCCCAAAUUUGAAUAAUCCACCCCAAGAGCCUGUAAUGCCAUCAGUCGCUGAUCCUGUGAGGCUGAGUAAGCCACCUGUAGACGUGAUUAGGAAGCGUGGGGCCGAGGAGUUCAAGGCCAUAGUAACUGAUGAUGCCGAAAGGGCCGAGUUCUGGCUUGAUAACACCAUUCGGGUGUUCGAUGAAUUGUCAUGCACACCUGACGAAUGUCUAAAAUGUGCUGUAUCUUUGUUGCGAGACUCAGCCUACUAUUGGUGGAGGACCUUGAUUUCCAUAGUCCCGAACGAGCAAGUAACUUGGGACUUCUUUCAAACGGAAUUCCGAAAAAAAUUUAUUAGCCAACGGUUCAUUGAUCAGAAGUGUAAGGAGUUCUUGGAACUCAAGUAAGGCCGUAUGACUGUAUCUGAAUACGAACAUGAAUUCGUAAGACUCAGUAGGUAUGCCCGGGAGUGUGUAGCUGAUGAGGUUGCUAUGUGCAAAAGGUUCGAGGAAGGAUUGAAUGAAGAUUUAAAGCUACUAAUGGGUAUUUUGGAAAUAAAAGAAUUCGUAACACUAGUCGAACGAGCCUGCAAGGCGGAAGAACUUGGAAAGGAGAAGAGGAAGGCUGAAUUUGAAGCUAGAGAUUAUCGUAAAAGAUCGACGGGUAAAGCUCCGAUCUCAGCUGUAAAGAAGUUCAGGGAGGACAUUAAUAAGUCGAGGGCGACUGCGGGAAUUUCCAUCAGGGCAAGACCAUCGAUGGGCUCCCGAGCUACUUCGGUAGCUAGUGUGGGCAAUAAUCGUCACGAGGAACCUGAAUGUCCCCAAUGUGGAAGACGACACCUAGGUGAAUGUUGGGGCAAGUCUACUAGCAGGGCCUGUUACGGAUGCGGUUCGAAGGACCACUUCAUUAGAGAUUGCACGGAGCUGGAUGAGAAGAAUAAGAUUCAAGGUGCAAGACCUAGUGGAGUGACAUCUAGAGGUAGACCACCGAGAAUUUUAGGAGGCAGGGGUGGUAGUCAGAGGGGGGCCUCUGAUAUGGCCGAUCGAGCCGAGAACCGUACUCCUGCUAGAGCAUAUGCCAUUCGUGCACGAGAUGAGGCAUCCUUCCCCGACGUCAUCACUGGUACCUUCACUCUCUUUGAUACUAAUGUGAUUGCAUUGAUUGACCCUGGUUCUACUCAUUCAUAUGUAUGGAAACCUUAGCAACCAGUAAGACUCUACCUGUUGAGUCUACUGAGCUCGUAAUUCGAGUAUCAAACCCUUUGGGUCAAUGCGUACUUGUUGAUAAAGUGUGUAAGAGAUGCCCUCUAAUAAUCCGAGAAUCCUGUUUUCCGGCCGAUUUGAUGCUUUUGCCGUUCGACGAGUUUGAUGUUAUUCUUGGUUUGGAUUGGUUAACCGCGCAUGAUGCGGUUGUGAAUUGGAAAAGCAAGACUAUCGAUUUGAGGUGCGCAAAUAACGAAAUAAUCCGAGUUGAGUCUGCGGACUUAAGGGGGUUGCCAGCUGUAAUAUCAGCAAUGUUGGCCCAGAAAUAUGUAAGGAAAGGGUGCGAAGCAUACCACGCGUAUGUACUUGAUGACAAGGAGUUAGAAAAGAAACCCGAAUCGGUGCCGGUGGUUUGUGAAUACCCGGAUGUUUUUCCUGAAGAGUUACCGGGUUUGCCACCUGUUCGGGAGGUAGAGUUUGGUAUUGAGCUUGUACCUGGAACUACGCCAAUUUCGAUUGCUCCGUAUCGUAUGUUCUAACCGAUUUAAAAGAGUUGAAAGCUCAGUUGCAAGAAUUGACGGAUAGAGGUUUCGCUCGACCGAGAUUCUCACCUUGGGGUGCACCAGUAUUGUUCGUGAAAAAAAAGAAAGACGGAACCAUGAGGUUGUGCAUUGACUAUCGUCAACUGAAUAAAGUGACGAUAAAGAAUAAGUAUCUGUUACCGCGUAUUGAUGAUCUGUUCGAUCAAUUAAAGGGAGCAUCGGUGUUUUCAAAGAUAGAUUUGAGAUCGGGUUAUUAUCAGUUGCGGAUUCGAGAUUCGGACGUACCCAAAACUGCUUUCAGAACGAGGUACGGUCACUACGAGUUCUUAGUGAUGCCGUUUGGGCUCACUAAUGCCCCUGCGGUGUUUAUGGAUUUGAUGAACGGAUCUUCAGGCCGUAUUUGGAUCGGUUCGUAGUUGUGUUUAUUGAUGACAUCUUGGUCUAUUCAAGAGAUGAGACCGAACAUGCUGAGCAUCUGAGGCUAGUGUUGCAAAUUUUGCGGGAUAAGCAGUUAUAUGCUAAGUUCAGUAAGUGUGAGUUCUGGUUAAGAGAGGUUAGCUUCUUGGGUCAUGUGGUAUCCGCAUCGGGUAUUCGAGUUGACCCGAGCAAAAUUUCAGCCAUACUUAUCUGGAAGCCUCCGAGAAAUGUUACCGAAGUCCGGAGCUUUCUAGGGCUCGCCGGUUAUUACCGACGAUUUGUCAAAGGUUUCUCAAUGAUAGCCACACCAAUGACGAAGCUACUUCAAAAGGAUGUUAAGUUCGAAUGGAUGGAGAAAUGUCAGAAAAGCUUCGAUCAACUGAAAACUCAUUUGACUGAAGCUCCAAUUUUGGUGCAACCCGAAUCGGGUAAAGAGUUUGUCAUUUAUAGUGACGCAUCCCUACUUGGGUUGGGUUGCGUAUUGAUGCAAGAAGGUCGAGUUGUGGCCUAUGCGUCGAGACAAUUGAAGCCACACGAGAGAAAUUAUCCGACCCAUGAUCUCGAACUAGCCGCCAUUGUGUUUGCAUUGAAAAUAUGGCGACAUUAUUUGUUUGGUGAGAAGUGCCAUGUGUUUUCGGAUCACAAAAGUCUCAAAUACUUGAUGACUCAACGAGACUUGAAUCUGCGACAAAGACGUUGGCUUGAGUUGUUGAAAGAUUACGAGCUUGUCAUUGAUUACCACCCGGGAAAGGCUAAUGUGGUUGCGGACGCCUUAAGCCGGAAAUCACUGUUUGCUUUGCGAGCGAUGAAUGUACACUUGUCUGUUCUACCUGACAAUGUGUUAGUAGCUGAAUUAAAAGCCAAACCAUUAUUGACUCAUCAAAUUCGUGAAGCUCAGAAAGUCGAUGAGGAAUUGGUUGCAAAACAAGCUGAGUGUGUUCCGAACAAGGAAUCGGAGUUUCAGAUUGAUGAUGAUGGUUGUUUGAGGUUUAGAAGUCGUUUGUGUGUUCCAAGGAAUUCGGAACUCAUUCCGAUGAUUCUGAACGAAGCCCAUUGUAGCCGAAUGUCAAUUCACCCGGGGAGCACGAAAAUGUACAACGACUUGAGACGUCGGUUUUGGUGGCGUGGUAUGAAACGAGACAUCUCCGACUUUGUUUCGAGAUGUUUAAUAUGUCAACAAGUGAAAGCGGAACAUCAAGUGCCUUCAGGGUUACUUCAGCCGAUCAUGAUACCCGAGUGGAAAUGGGACCGAGUCACAAUGGACUUUGUGUCCGGACUGCCAUUGUCCGCAAGUAAGAAGGAUGCGAUUUGGGUUGUUGUUGAUAGGCUGACUAAGUCGGCUCACUUUAUCCCCGUGCAUACGGAUCUUUCAUUGGAUAAACUAGCCGAAUUGUAUGUCUCUCAGAUUGUGAGAUUACAUGGAGUACCUAUUUCUAUCGUGUCGGAUAGAGAUCCGAGAUUCAUUGGGCCGUACGAAAUCUCCGAACGAGUUGGUCCAGUUGCGUAUCGAUUGAUUUUGCCCCCUGAACUUGAAAAGAUCCAUGACGUCUUUCAUGUUUCGAUGCUUCGACGCUAUAGAUCUAAUCCAUCGCACAUAAUUAGCCCAUCAGAGGUUAAAAUUCAAGCCGAUAUGAGUUAUGAAGAAGAACCGAUGCGUAUCCUAGCUCGUGAAGUGAAGGAGUUACGAAACAAAAGAGUUCCGCUAGUAAAGGUGUUAUGGCUCAAACACGGGAUCGAGGAAGCUACUUGGGAAACCGAGAGCUCGAUGAAAGAACGAUAUCCAAACCUAUUUACCGUAAGAUUUUCGGGGACGAAAAUUUCUUAAGUGGGGGAGAGUUGUGACAGCCCAAAAUUGACCCUAGUCGGGAAGUGGUUUCGGGACCGCUAAACCGAGUCACCGAAAGGUUUGAAUGUGAUGUUUAUUGUCUAGAAUAUGUAAUCAUGAAUGUGUGAAAAUUUCAAGCUUCGAUUUAGUCGAUUGCAUGUGAAUUUAGUCAAUAGGACUUAUAUGAGAAAAUUUUAAAAUGUGAUAGGUCAAUGCAUGAGGACCUAUUAGUGCAUGUGGAAGAAAAAGGGGACUUGCAUGUCAAAUUCCCCCUCCCUAAUAUGUAGUGGCCGGCCAUGCUAUGGGUGGAAACAUGUCACCAACAUGUUGUGUUAGUGAUGUAUGGUAAGGAAAAUAAAAUAAUAAGCAUGAUAAUUAAAUAAUGAAAGGAAGGGUGAUGGAAAAAAAAAAUAACAUGGUCUCACCCCCUUGUUGCCGUGAGUUGAAGAAAGAAAACAAAAAAAAAUGUGUUCAUUCUUGAACACCUUUGGCCGAAUAGAGGAAAGAAAGGAAGGGGAAGAGCUUGAGAAAAUCGGCUAUGGUGGUUUGCUAGACUAAGGUAUGUUUGAUGUUGUUCUUGAGAUGCAUGCAUGUUUUAGUAGUUGACUUGAGUUCUAAAAACCCAUGGUUCAAUUUUGUGGAUUGAUGAUGAUUUUGUGUUUUGCCAUUGAUGAGUGCUUGAGCUUUUUGAUAGUUGUUGAUGAAAAGCGAAAGAUAUGUUAAAGAUUAAUAUGUUUUGUGUUGAAGUUUUUGGUGAUUUUGAGUGGUUAGGGCUAAAUUACAAAAAUAAAUUUUUGAAGGACUCAAAGGUGAAAUAAAUGAAAUGUAUGGACUUAUAUGGGUGCUAGGAAGAUUCGGCCCUUAAGGAGUGUGACCAAACUUUGUGUAUUUUGUGUUUUGUGGAAUAAAGACUAAAUUGUGAAAGUGCGAAAUAUUAGGGGUAAAAAUGUAAUUUACCCAUUUAUGCGUUAUUAGACUAAAUUGAAUGAAAAUAUGUUAAAAUGAGAUUUAUUUGAAUAUGUUAAGAUCAAGAAACCAAGGAAUUGGAUUUAGAUCGGGGAAAAUCGAAAGUAGUUGAGUAGCCGAUCAUUUAGACGACGACAUCCGAAGAAAGUUUAUAAGCAAUUAGAUAUUAAAAUUUCGGAAUAAAUGUUAGCUAUAUAUGCUGAAAUGGAAAUAUGAUAAAUGUAUAUAUAGCUGAAUGUGAUAUGUGUGAAUUAUAUGUUAAAUUAAGGCUUGGUAAGCUAGCUAUUAAGGUGAAAUGCUAAUGUUAGUAUUUGAUUUGGUAAUAAUCUGUUUGGGGACAGCAGCAGUAAGGUGAUUUUGGAAAAUCGCCAUAAUUUGUAGGAGUUGAAUUAGAAGCUGAGUGAAUUAUGCCGUUAAAGCUUGAAGAGUCUAUUUUCUUACAAAAGAAACUAUAAAAACAAAAGAGUUACCGAUCUUGAGAUAUUUGAAGUAUUGUGGGGCUGAGUCAAAAUGACUACUAGAUUCCCUGUUCUGUUUUUAGAAAAUCAUUAUAAAUUGUACAAAAAUGAUUAUAAGAUAAAAUUUAUAUGCUUAGACUCCUUAAUGAGUCUAGUUUCAAAUGAGAUCAACUACAACACAUUUUGAAUUCUGUAAAAUGAGAAAUUUGAUUCGUAGUGAAGAGUGGUCAGAAUAGUCAAACAGUGAAACAGGGGAAACUUUAAGAAAAAUCUGGUAUUGAUUGGCCAAGCCUAAAAUUCUGAAAAUUUUAUGGAUGGAAGAUAUACGAGUCUAUAUUCAUGGAAAAUUAACGGCUAGUGAUUUGGAGUUUUGUAGCUCCAGUUAUAAACAAUUUAGCGACUACUGCUCAGGAAAACAGCUCGUAGUGAAUAUGUGAUUUUGUUGUAAACAUUAAUGAAAAUUUGCCAAUGAGUUAUUUAUUGAUUAUUAUAAAGCUUACUAUAAUCUAUGUGUGUGAAAGUCAAAUCAAUAUAUAUAUUAUUCUGAAAGUAAUACUUGAAUAGUCGAUUAAUGACUAUUUUAAAUUUUGUCGAACUUAAGCUCAAGAGCAAAAAGGGAACUAGAUCCGAUAAAGGCAAAGAAAAGAUCACUGAGUAGCCGAGUUGGAACCGUCUUACCCAACACAAGGUAAGUCAUUAAGCAUGUAGUUGGUAUUAUUUCAAAUGGUCAUAAUGUUUAUGUAUUGAUGCUGAAUGGAAUGAAUAAAUAUAUAUAUAUAUGCAUGUACGUAUGUGAUGAUGAAAUUGUUGAAUGAAAAGAAAAGAGGUAAGAUGUACUGAGUUGUUGAUCUCGGUACUAAACGUGCGGGUAUAACCAUUUAUGACCAUGAGAUUGGCGCUAAGUGCGCGGGAUUAAAUUGUACAGCACUAAGUGUGCGAUUUGACUAUGUUGCACUAAGUGUGCGAAAUGAAUAUGAUGCACUAAGUGUGCGAAUUGACCAUGCGGCACUAAGUGUGCGAGUUUGACUAUGUAGCACUAAGUGUGCGAUUUGAUUACGUAGCACUAAGUGUGCGAGUUGAUUAUAUAGCACUGAGUGUGCGGACUCAAUAUACAUUCGUGAAUCAUUAUGGACACUAUGUGUGCGACACUAUUGAGUCGAUCGCGGACAGCGGAUCGGGUAAGUGUCUUGAGUACAUGGCUAAUAGGUGCUAUGCUUAUACUUGGUGUUGAGCUCGGUAAGUUUGAACCUAUGUGACAAAUAUACUUGAAGUCACGUACAUAAAAUUUAUUGUAGGAUGGGUGAAAGGCCGUUUAGUCGUUUGAUUGUAACGAAAAUAAAUUGAUUUAUGAAAUUGCCUCAAUGUCCUAUUGAUGAGUAUAUGGAAUGUGAAUGCAUGAAUUGAUAUGAAACUGAAUCGAUAGGUUGGAGGAACUAUGGUAUGGUUCGGUAUGGAUGGAGUAAAUUGUCUCGUUCCAUUUUGUUUCCUCUUGUGAUAAUGUUAUUGAUGGAUGGUAGUGCAUUGCUUAUGACUUACUGAGUUAUAAACUCACUCGGUGUUUCCUUGUCACCCAUUAUAGGUUGCUUGGACUCAUCUAUUUUUGCGGGGUCAGGCCGUCAUCGAAGUCAUCACACCGGAUAGCAAGUUUUGGUACUUUCUUCUUAGUUGGCUUAGAAGAACAUUUUGGCAUGUAUAAGCUAUUACGUUGUGUUUGAACCUUGGCAUGUAAACUUUAAGCCAUGCGAAAAUGGCACGAAUGUUCGAUUGAGUUGGAUCAAGGGUAGGCAUGAAAUGGACCUAGUUACUUUCGUAACAGAUGCUGGCAGCAGCAGUGUCAUGAGAUUGAAAAAUCACUAAAAAUAGUAGGAGUGAAAUUAAUUGAUGAAUAAAUUAUGUAAUCGAAGCUCGAUGAGUCUGUUUUCAUGAGGAAGUAACGAAAAGAUCAUAUGGGCAGUAUAUUAAGAGAUAAUCAGAUUUUUGUGGGACAGGGCCAGAACGGUUUCUGGAUUCCCUGCUCCAACUUUGGAAAUUCAUUAUAAAUUAACCAGAGAUAAUUAGGGGUCGUACCAUAUAUUUACAGAUUCCUCUCUGAGUCUAGUUUUCAUAGAAACAAACGGCAUCAGUAUUGAAGCCCCGUGGAGGGAGAUAUCCAAGUCGUAAUGGGCAAAGGUCAGUGUAGUCGACCCCUGCAAUAUGGGAGACUUUGACUAAUAAACUGUACAAAUUGGCCCGACCAAAAAUUCUAGAAAAAAAUACAUAGAUGGGCACAUGAGCCUAGUUUCUGGGAAAAAUCACGAAAUUGAUUUUCGAGUUACGAAACUCAAGAUAUGAUUUUUAAAACGACUAGUACACAGAUUGGGCAGUGUCUGGAAAAUAAAUUUUAUAAGGGGUUAAAGUCAGUUAACACCUCGUGUUCGACUCCGGUGUCGGUUUCGGGUUCGGGGUGUUACACAACAGGUAGAGUCUUACUGGAUGCUAAAGUUUCACAUACAUAUGAAUGAGUAGAACCGGGGUCGAUCAAAGCAAUCACAUCAGUAUCAAAAAGAGUAUAAGUACUGGUAAUAACAUCUGGCGAAGAAGCAUCCUCGCGCGCUUGUAUAGCAUAGGCUCUGGCAGGAGCAGAGCCUCAGAACAUAUAGCAGUAUCUUUGGUCCCUCUUUGAUUUCCACUAGCAUUACCCGCAUGUCUAGAUGGUCUACUUCGUGUUGCAGUGUUACUAGGUCUCCCACUCGGAUCAGUAUUCUGUUCAGCUAAUUUCGGAAAGUCUCUGAUAAAGUGAUCAGCUGAUCCACACUUGAAACAAGAGCGGCCACGAAAUCUACAGCUUCCUGAAUGCCAUUUACCACAAUGCUUGCACUCAGAUCUGUCUUGAUGAUCAUUGCCAACACUGGCAACAGAGGUAGCUCGCGUACUCAUAGGGGGUCGAUCACAGUCUCGUCUGGAAAAACCCGAAGUAUUCUUAGAUUGGCCUGAGUCAUCUCUAAAUUUCUUUGAUAACUGAUGAAAGGAUUUUCCCGAAGAUCUUUUACAGAGCUCUCUAACUCUAUCAUCAGCUUUUCUUUUCUCUUUACCGAGCUCUUCGGCUUUACAAGCUCGCUCGACAAGCACUACAAACUCUUUGAUUUCCAAAAUACCCACCAACAGUUUGAUGUCUUCAUUCAGCCCAUCCUCAAGGCGUUUACACAUGAUAGCCUCAGACGAAACACAUUCCCGAGCAUAUCUACCAAGUCUGACAAACUUUCGCUUGUAAUCGGUAACUGUCAUAGAGCCCUGUUUGAGCUUGAGAAAUUCCUUCUGUUUCUGAUCGAUGAAUCUUUGACUGAUAUAUUUCUUGCGGAACUCGGUUUGAAAGAAUUCCCAAGUAACCCGUUCUCUCAGCAUAACUGAAAUCAAGGUAUUCCACCAAUAGUAGGCAGAAUCACAUAACAGAGAUAUAGCACAUUUUAAGCACUCAUCGGGUGUGCACGAUAAUUCAUCAAACACGCGAAUGGUAUUAUCAAGCCAAAACUCAGCCUGCUCGGCAUCAUCAUUGUCAGUAGCCUUGAACUCAGAAGCCCCGUGCUUUUGAAUUCUAUCAACCGGAGGCUUGCUCAACCUCAACGGGUCAACUAUAGGAGGUACCACAGGUGCAGGGGUUGUAUUAGUCGGGGGUGGGGGAUGUGAAACAGCCAAAUUAGUUCGAACAUAUUGGGUAAACCAAUCGUUCAUCAUAGCAUAAAAGGCUUGCUUAGCUUCAUCAUUCUGAUUACUAGCAUUUGGUUGACAGUCCAACGCCGCUGUCCCGUGUGCGGGAGCAGGCGCUACGCUCUCUACAUCAUCAGUUACUGCUCGAUCAGGAUCAGAAUUCAUUACUAUACAAAAAACACAUUUCAACUGUCAGAAAUCAUCACACUAUCGUAAUAACACUUCAUGGCAUGUAUAGCUAGACUCACACGCGCUAUGUUAGUCCUAGAAUCGACUAAACCGGAGCUCUGAUACCAAUAAAAUGUAACACCCCUAUAACCCGUAUUCGUCACCAGAGUGGGUUAUGAAGAGUUACCAAUCCAAAACACUACAUUUGUACAUUCACAUUUACAUAAGUUCAUUAGCAAUUAUAUGCAUAGCCAAACAAAAUCAAAGAUCAAAAUUCAGACUUAAACCGACAUUCAAAAGUUACCAUAAUCACAUGGCUUAUAUACAACAACACCUCAAAAUAUCAUUCACUUAAGUCUAUUUCUAUACAUGCAAUACGAAUUCCAAAAUAUAAUAGUACCAAAACGAUAGAUAGUGUGACGAGUUACUGACGAUCCCCGAGCAAGUGGCUGGAGUCAACGAUCUAAAAACAGAGAAACAUAACAAACGGAGUAAGCUUCCAUAAGCUUAGUAAGUUUUAAGCAAUGCAAACAAUUAAAUUCAAUUAUAAAUCAAUCAAUCAAAUUCUCAAGUGACAUUUCUUAGGUAUAUUGCCAUUUGGCCGAAUAUAUAUAUACAAACAUUUAACGUAUAUUUAGCAUAUUAACUUCACUUGAAUCUGAAUUCAGAUAACAUAAGUAAAUCAAAUAUUUUCACAUAACUUCACAUUUUGGCCGAAUGUAUCAGGAUCAUAUACAUAUAGUCUUAAUACUUAUUCACAUAUACAUCAUAUUACAUACUUGGGAUUCAAUCCCAAUCAAGCUCAUAUAAGUACAAGAUACAUACCUAGCCAACUUAAGGUAUUAUACGAUUUCAAUUGUCGUUUUAUCAUGAAGUUUCAAAAUCUUAGAUUUAUAUCAAAUCACUGGAAAUUAGCCUGCUAGGUUUAAAACCCGAAUUCAUCACCGGCACGAAGCCUGCUAGACUUUAAGUCUGAACUCAUUCACCGGUAUUACGCCUUCUAGGCUCAAAGCCUGAUAUUAACUCACCGGCAUUACGCCUGCUAGGCUCGAAGCCUGAUAUUAACUCACUGGCAUUAUAGCCUGCUAGGCUCGAAGCCCAAUAUUAACUCACCGGCAUUAUAGCCUACUAGGCUCGAAGCCUGAUAUUAACUCACCGGCAUUAUAGCCUGCUAGGCUCAAAGGCUCGAAUAGUACUGUACGAUAAUCAAAUCAACAAGUUCCAUAUAACUUACUCAUAUCAAUUACGUACUAGCAUCAUUUGAACAUAUAUAAUUAUACUUCUCAAACACUUUUCUUUCAUCUCAUUUUCAUACUUAGCAUUCGAUAGCUUAUGCAUAACAUUUCGCUCACAUUCAUUUCAAAUUUAUCAUUCGAUUAUAAAAGCACAUUGCAUAUUUACCAACAUGUUAUACUUGCCAUUAGGCCAUAUAAGCAUGAUACAAUACACAUUAUUUCAUCUUUAAAAUUCGAAUAAAUCCAUACCUUAUAAAGAAUACCUAAUUCAUAUAAUAUAUCAGAUUAUAAUCAAUUGUUAUUUACGUUUGAUUACUUAAAACUUACCUCGGAUGUUUUCGAACGAUUACAACGACUAUUUGAUUUCUUUCUCCUUUCCCCUAUCCAACUUUGGUCCUCUAAGCUCUUGAGCUAAAUCAAACAAAUUUACUUCUCAAUCAAACACAUACAUACGGCAACCAUAUACAUUUCAAAAACCAAUUCAUUCGUAUCAUUUGUCCAUAUAUUAGCUUUUAGCAUAUUUGGUCAUUAGAGCGACCUAUUUAACUUUCAAGCAUUCAUUUCUAAUUUUAAUUAAACAAUGUCGAAUGCCAUUAACUACUAAUUCCAUACACACAUAUGCAUAAAAUUCAUCCAUACAUAACCUAUAGCUCAUCCGGUCAUUCAUCUCUCAAACCUAUCAAAGCUUCAUAUCAAACUUCCUUGGCCGAAUACACAUAUAAGCACAUAAUGCACAUUUAGCAUUUUUAUUUACUUCAUGAUACAUUCGGCCUUGGCAUAAUUUCAUUAAAAAACCCUAUUAGCCGCUUCACAAAUCAAUUAUAUCAUCUACUUAAUAUUUCAUAACUUAUCAUGCUAGCCGAAUAUUAUUUAUUCAAGUUCUCAUUCGGACAUAGCACACACAACAUGUUAGCCGAUUUUCCCACUUAACAUCUAAUGCACAUAUAUGCUCAUUUGUCUAGCUCAACUUCACCUAUCUACCAUUACUCAUAAAAGAACAUGAAACAACAACCAUUUCCUUCAAUUCAAUUCAUGACCGAAUGCUCACAACACAACAAUUUUCAAAAUUUAAUCAUGGGUUAACUAAGCAAUGCUUUAACCAUGCUAAUUACGCAAGAAUAUCAAGAAAAUACAUGGAACAUACCUUUGAAUCAUGCUAAGUAAAUGACCGAAUGUGCUUGAGCUUUUUCCUCUCUUUUUCUCUUAAUUUCGGUUAUGAAGAACAAAGAUGAACAAGUUUUGUCCUUUUCAUCAUUUUGUUAUUUUAUUUAUCUUUAUUUUAUAAUAUAAAGCCAUUAAAUAUUAUAAUGCAAAUUUAAAAUGCAUAUAUUGUUUAUCAUCAUUAUUAUGGCCCGCCACUACAAAUUAAAGUGGGAAAUUUGGCAUGCAAGUCAGCCUAUUUUAAACCAUAAAAUAUUUGGCCACUACAAAUUAACCUAUCACAUUUUCAAAAUUUCUCACAUAAGUCAUAUUUAAUAAUUUCACAUACAAAUGACAAAAUCAAAGUAUGAAAUUUUUAAACAUGCACUUUCACAUAUAAUAAGCAUAGAAUAUAACAUUUAAUUAUUUUUGUGACUCGGUUUUGUGGUCCCGAAACCACUUUCCGAAUAGGGUCAAAUUAGAGAUGUCACAUGUGCAGGACAGUUCAACAAAAACCUAGAUAGUGUUUUCAAGCCAGAACACGGCCCUUUCCGGAUCAUCAUAUGCAGUAGCCCUAAAUUCUUCCGCCCCAUGUUUGUCAAUUUUAUCUAUCGAAGGCUUACAAAUUCUGACAAGUUCAACACCCUGUGGUACCUCGGGAACCGGUUGAGGAGCAAGUGGGGGAAGUCGUUUUACAUCGGGGUUUGUUCUCAAAUACUGGGUAAACCAUCCAUUGAUCAUUUGAAAGAAGGCUUGCUUUGCCUCCUCACUUCGGCCCUCAGACACAGGCCUUUCAAUACCAGACGCAGAGGCGACUCUCUAAACUAAAGCUGAAGCUGUAACACCCUUAACCCGUCUCCAUCGCCGAACCAGGGUUAAGAAGUAUUACUAGACAUGACACAACAUUCGAACGAGUCUCAUCAGCACGUAUAUAAUAUCCAAUUAAUUAAAGCAUAUCACUAAUUAAUCAUUAAACAUAUAUCAUAAGUCAUAUUACUAAUAAAACUCAUAUCUCAUAAAUCAAAGGUUCAUACACAUAGGACCAAAUUGGCUAAAACCAUUCUAGUACGAAUAUCAAAUAAAUUUACACUUAACCGCAAGUUAAAUUACCCUUCAUAUACAUAUAAUUAUAUAUAUGACGUAAGUGACUUUACUACUAAGCAACAUUCGGCUUCAUUAAAAUGACAGAAUACACAUACCGUAAAAUUUUACGAGGUAUUACUCACAACAUGUAAUGCAUCAAUAAGCACAACAAAAAUUAAUCCCAAAAUGGUUAAACAAGUUACUGAAACACUUUUUUUUUAUUAAACGUAAAUUCAUCAAAACCAUAUACAUGUCUUUGUAAUUUAUUAAGUCAUAAUACAAGCCUUGAAACCAUAUACAUAUGCGACUCAGGUCAAGGUUAAUAAGGCUCACAUACUUUACACUUUAAGUCAAAUUGAAAAUAUCCACACGGAAAAAAAAAUAAUCAUGCAUAUUCAUAUACUCCUUUAUAAGUUUUUAUCAUUAAGUAUCAUACAUAUGUUUUUACUUGGUCAUUAGUAUUUAUGCGCAUGUGAACUUAAUUAAUUUAAUCAAUUUAUGAACCUAAUUCAUCAAAAUACACACACUUAUAACUUAAGUUAACUAAUAUGCCGACAAUUGCAUAAGCAACACUCAAAUGCAGACAAUGUUCGGACAGCACAAGUUGUAAAUCAUUUAUUAACAUCGUGACCCAAGUUUAGUAGCAUUUUCUUGGGAACCGAAUUUAGACAUACAUUCAUAUUCCAACUAUUUUAAACCAAUAUUGCGUAUCAACUAAAUAAAACCACUGCCACCUUUACAAGAUGUUUACUCCAUAUUGCAUAACAGUUCAUCUUCAAACUCCAUUGCCGAAUAUAUAUCCAUUUAUACUGUCUAGUAUUUAAUACUAUGAUUUUGCCUUCCAAAAUAGAAUUACAAAGUAUACAAACAUCAAUUAUGACAUAUUCAUGCAUUAUAUAAUUAAACACAUGGAUAAAUAUAUAUAUCUCAAACAUUUUAUGCAACCAAUUCAUCACAUCAUAUGUUCUCAAUUAAGAUAUUAACUAAAUACAUCACAAGCUUAUAUGUAUACACACUAAAGUCGAAUCAAAAGUAUCUUCCAACAUUUAUUUAAUUCAACCUUUUUAAAUCUUACCUUUAUAAAGUACCCAGACCAACUUACCUUAUUAUCUAAAUUCAUAGCAACAAUCAAACAAAACAAGCUACACAUAAAUACAUUUAAAUACAUGCCACGACUAAAUUAUCAAACCCUAAGUCAACCUUACCGCAUAUUUUAUACUCAUUCCAUACCAUAAUUUAAUUCAACUAAGACCACAACUAAACAUGUUCACAUCAUAUUCAAACCUUAAAACCGAACACAACGAUUUGUUCAAGCCAUUUUCGCAUGGCUAUAUGAUUUACAAAUCCAAAAUCAAACAUAACAUAUUCUAGCUUAUACAUGCCAUAGUUCCAAAAUGUAACUUAUAAAACACCGAAAGCGUCGAUAGUGUGAUAAGCUUCUCUGACGAUCCCUGAGCUCCUAAAUUGAAUUCAAGAUCUAUGAAACAGAGACAAUUAUACACAGUAAGCUACCUUAGCUUAGUAAGUCAUAAGCAGAUAAACACAUAAGAUAAUAUUAUCAACUUGACUAAACCAAACCAGAGUUAUAUUAUCAUAACACAUGUAGAGCCAAACACGCAUAAACUCAUAUUCUAAGUAUAUAUAUAUAUAUUCAUUUGUAAAUGCCACUUUGGCUGAAUGCCUACAUAACCAUAUUAUCAUAUUGUCGUAUAAUUUCCAAAAUCGAAUAAUCAUUAUAGACCCAAUUCGCAAACCCAUAAGAUUCAUAAGCUCAUGUGUCACUAUAUAAUUUCAUUUUUUUUUGCAACAGUCAAACUGAACUGUUGUCAAAGACAAAACAGAACAGAAACAGAGAAAUAGAAAAAACAGCAGACAAAAUAAAAACACCUACCAAUAAUACUACAACAGCAGAACAACAAUACAAAAACACACCACCAAGCUUUAAACAUUUUCUCCCACUUAAAUCCAGCAAUCACCACGGAAGAUGCCAAUUCGUAACCUUUCUAAUCGGCCACCGAGAGUACAAGUUUACCAGCCUUUAACAUAUCGCCAUCGAUGCUUGCAAAAAUUGCUUUGAGAAGCCAAGGUCUCGUAGCCUUGUUAACACACCACGAACAGACCACCAAAGAUCCAAGUUCAAUAAAUAAUGAAUCAUAAAGUUUCCAGUUCAAAGAUAAAGAAAUUCUAGAGGCACCUUUACUGCAUUAGUCUCGGCCACAACAGCUUCGAUAACAUCCACUGCACUAGAAAAUAAUGCUCUUGCGACACCCUCCUUAUCUCUUAAUACGCUUCCACAAUCAGCUCUCUCCUCUUUUGCAACCCCACACACAAUGAAACUUUAACCAUAUGGAACAUAGCACUGUUGACAUCCCUUUCUUUUAACCAUUACAUUCUUGAUUUUUUACGCCAAAGAGAUUCUUUGAAUUUCAUUGCUUCCCAAAGCUCAAUGUUUAGCUUUUUUAUCUCCUCCAUUUCCUUCUCCGUCAACUUUUUUUAUUCACUUAUUUCAUCAAUCACCUCAAUCCUAUCUUCGCUUUCAAUAAAUCUUUUUUUCCAAAAAAUUGCCAACUUCAACAAUCCAUUUCUAAAGGGCUCCCUUCAAAUUGCGCAACUUAACAGCCGUAAGCCCUCUUACUCCCCCUAUUCCCAGCCAUUCCAUUUUAAAUAACUUCAUACUAUCAUCCUUUUUGAGCCAAGCAUAAUCAGACCUUGACCCCCAAUCAAAAGAUUUGAUAACCAACAAGACUGGAGAAUCUUGAUGAUGAAAAACCCCAAUUUCCAUAUCUUUAUAUUAGCUAUGUGGCCGGUUUUACACAAACACACUACAUAUAAUUAAGACUUAUUCAAUGGUAUCUACAUUGCCGAAUACCCUCAUAAUUACCUUAGCACAUUAUUAGCCAACUUUUCAAAAUCAGUUGGACAUAAAGAAAUUUAGUCCAUACGCACUCAUAUGCGUAAGCUAUUGUACCCAAAUAAUAUUUCAUAUACAUGUUAAUUAUUGUUGAGAAUGGACUGCAAUGCAACAGAAGGCCAUGAUGCAGACCAGCAGCUGCAGCAGACCAGCAUUCAAGCGGGACCAGAAGCAGCUUAAUUAUUUUGUUUACUUUUGUUCAUUUUGUAAUGCCAUCCAAGCUAAAUGUAACUAGACUUUUAGAGUUGUUAAGAUUUGAAUUGAUGGAUGUAAUUGCUAAAAAUUGUUCAGCUUUCUUUUGUGUUACUUUAGUUGGCAACUUGCCAAAACAGGUGGGAGUAGUUACAAGUUUAGGUAACUGACAUUCUAACUUUGUAACUCUUAUAUUUUCAAAUGAAAUGAAAAGAAGCAG